AAACCGACAGCCCUAUUUAUUCCCUUAACAGAAAUGCUUAAGAGCAACAAUUUUGAUCUUGUCACAAAAGAAAUUUUCGGCCCAUUCCAGGUACUAAUAUAAAGCUAUGGAAGUCUACGCUUGUUGUUAAGUAAAGUUAUUUUCUUAUUUGUAAAUUACAAUAUUUAGAUAUCCACAUCAAUCAUCCACAUUCAAAAGUAAUUUUCGGUCCAUUCCAGGUGCUAAUAUAAAGCUAUGGAAGUCUACGCUUGUUUUUUAAGUAAAGUUAUUUUCUUAUUUGUAUAUUACAAUAUCUAGAUAUCCACAUCAAUCAUCCACAUUCAUCAUGCUAUCUAACUGUUCAGAGGCAAGAUCCUAGCAAGUAGCUUUGACAUCAGUAAUUUUUGCGCAUUGAAUACGCAUAAGCAGUAUAUAUGUGGAAGAAUUUUGAAAUUCUCAUCCAAGAUGUUUGUUGUAGUAAUCAAUAUUUUGGAAUCGGUACCUAGUAGGCUUCUGACAGAAUCUACAUGAUGUAAGACAGCUAAUUUUUUAAGUUCCAAGAUAUUCUAUUCGUGAGUGAAAGAUAUAUCUAGAGGAAGAAAAGGACCAGGAAGUUGUUUCGCUGCUGCUGUAAACGAUUGGUGAUUAUUGGAAUUGGGAAAAAAUUGUUUCCUGUGGUACUCUUUCAAUCUGGUUUUAUUGAUAAUAAGAUGCACUGUAUGAAUAUUCUGGAACUUCGUAUGUGAAAAGAUAUGCAUGAUUUGGUUACCAGUAUAAUUUGAAAAUAAUGCAUGGUGUCAUAGUUUUCUUUUUCUUCCCUGCUCUUUGCUGCCUUCCAAUGGAAUUUGUUUGCUCGUAUGUGGGCACAGAUUGUUACAGAUUACAAACAGGAUCAGCUCAUGAUGGUGUUGGAUGCUUGUGAGAGGAUGCAUUCACAUUUGACAGCUGCGGUGGUUUCAAAUGAUCCAUUAUUCUUGCAGGCAAGAUUUACGACAACCUAAAUAUUAGCUUUCAGGGAACUAGACACAUUGAUGCCUUUAACUGUGUGAAAGUUCUCAGAGGUCUCUGGUCACCCUCUUCUGAUAUUCUGGAAUUUUAUGUAUGUGAACUAAUCUGAAAUUCAUAGAAUCUAAAGAAAUUAUCUAAUUACCUUCUAACUGUUGGGCUUUUAGUUUGUAUUUUGAUCCCUUAUUACUGAAGAAGAACAAGAAAUAUUUAUCAGUUUCUUGAUUUUUUUUUGAAGAAAUCUAAAACGUUAAUUGGGAAAUGUUCCCCUCAAAAAAAAAAGGAGACAAUAAAGCUUUCAAUUGUAGCUGCACAUUAGAUUUGCAAUAUCCGUUGCAAAAUUUUUUGACUGACUAAUAGUAUUCAUUCUAUUCAAAAUCUGAUCAUAACUAAGAAGCCUCAUCCCACCAAUGUGGUAAUGUUUGGAUACUCUUUACCAGCACUUUGUAUAAGUUCUUCUAGGAGUUCGUCCUCUAAAACUUGCAUUUGACUUAGUUCUGGUCUUUUCAAUGCCCAUCAGCACAUGAUCUCGUUUUGCUGAAGUCUGUUCUUCCCUACUCUUUUCUAUUGUUAAGUUAUUUCUUGAGAAAAUUGAAAACAUGUACAACAUCAGGUAAAUAUUUGUUGUAAAAGGAAUGUGUUACGGUGUUAGUUGAGAAUUGUUUCAGAACAAAAUAGCUGGGCUCAGUACAUGGGUCUCAAAUCAUGACAUAAAUUGAGCUGCAACGUUUCAGCUCUUGUUAAAGAUUUAUCCAUGAUAAUAGACCAGUUGCAUGAGAAAAGAAGUCCACGCCUUUUUCCUCCAUAACUAUUAAAUCACUUAAUGAAUUUUGAUGGUUGACCAUUAUUUUUGUUAAAAAAUUGCUAAACUUCUCUUUGCAGGAAGUUCUUGGGAAGUCUGUUAAUGGAACUACAUAUGCUGGAAUUAGGGCGAGGACAACAGGGGCUCCACAGAACCACUGGUUAGUAAAACACCUUAUGAACUUAUGUUUGAUUUACCUACCUUUCAUGAAGCAUGAAGAGUGAACUGCAAAUGAUUCACAGGUUUGGACCAGCUGGUGAUCCUAGGUGUGCAGGAAUUGGAACUCCGGAAGCUAUUAAACUUGUUUGGUCUUGCCAUAGGGAAAUUAUAUAUGAUAUUGGGCCCUUGCCGCAGCAUUGGGAAAUUCCAUCAGCUACAUAAAUUAAUGAGAUCAAGGUCACCGUGUGUGUGUGAGAGAGAGGAAGGGGGGGGGGGGGGGGGGUGGGAGAAUCUUUGAUCUUUGUGGUAAAAGAAUAAAAAGGCCUUUUUACAAGGUUUCACCGAGUAUAAAUUAACAUGCAAAGCAAUUUCUGUCUAUGGAAUUGAAGAAAAUGUAGUGAUGGUCUGAAGUGCAAAUAUUUACCUAUUUCUGUGUACAAUGUUCAUUAGAGCAAUAGUGCAUAUUAAUUAGUAUUCCUUGAUGGAGUCAUUGGUCACUUAACCUGUACCAUAAUACACCUCAUAUGAUGCAUGUGGUGUAUACGAACAACAUACCUGACAGAGCUUCGCCCAGGUAUUUUGGAGUUUGAAUUCCACAGAACAGAUUAUAUAUGGUUGGUUGAACCAACGACCUCCACAGAGAAGCAAUGUAGGAACUACUUGGUCGAACUCUUGUCGGUUGUGUACCUCUUUUUUUAUUUUGCACGUCUUUCUGGAUCGUUUUAUUCUCUGAAGCUAAUAAUAUCAAGGCCUCAUUAUGUUCAUGAAUGCGCUUGGCAGACUGUUUUUAUAAUAAAGGAUGCAUAGCAGGUCCAACUCAUUAAAACUAUGCAAAUGGGAGGGCUAAACUUAUUCACGUUCAUGGGGAACCGCCUGUCAAACCAACAUUUACAAUGUCCUAGUUUAUCCGAGAUUUCCAAUCAAAUAAAAUUUCAGAUUUAUUAUUGGAAUAACAUAGUAAAGUAGAUUGCAGAUGAAUGGUACUAGAUCAUGAAACUUCUACAAUCAUGUACAUUCCCNNNNNNNNNNNNNNNNNNNNNNNNNNNNNNNNNNNNNNNNNNNNNNNNNNNNNNNNNNNNNNNNNNNNNNNNNNNNNNCUUUUUAAGUGAAUCGGCCACUCACACCGCUUUGGCAUGAGCAUAGCUAGCUACAUCACUAGCAAAAAGACUACGCAAAGCAGAAGAAAAAGUCUGCUGGGUUUAUAGAAAAUCUCCAGAAUGAUGAGCAACAAAUGAGAUGAUCCAAUCAGUAGCUCGGUUCAUCAUCCGAAAAAUAAGCCCGACCUGGAUAACAUGGCUCUCCCGCAUCAUUCAUCGUGUCACUGAGAAGCGAAUGUUCUAUCUCCUCCCACCCCUCCUCUCGUAAUAGCUUAAUCAACGCAGUUGAGUCUCCUUCCAGGAUGAUGCAACCAGUCACUAGUACAUGCCUCACGAAAGAAAGUUUCUUCUAUACUGCCCUGAGCUCUACCCUAAAUGUUGAAGCCUCGAGGGGCCUUUCUCUUCGGGUUAGGGUUUAUUCCACUUAGCACUGCCGGAGUAGAAAACCUACGGGCAAGGUUUAUGGGUUGUGAAACGUGUGAUCAUCAGAUCUAUAAGAUAUAGUACGCGGAUUAAAUGUUUUUUUCUCCUAACAGGCUUUAAUGUCUUUUUUUGUGCUAACUGGAAUUAAUGUCUUCAAAUCUAUGGAUGUUCUCUGCCCACGGAAAAAAAACUGCAGAUAUUGUACUCGCUUAAUGCCCUGCAAUUCAAGCAUGUUCACGUUCGUUGUAUCAAAAAAAAAAAAGGGCAUAUUCACGUGCAUUAACUCGCUGUGGAUCAAGAUACACCGUACUACAAGUCCCCAUCGCCCCUCGUGUAAUACAAGGCAUCACGAUAAUUCGCGGCGGCCGCGACACACAGGUCCUUCAAUUCCAAGGAAAAUAGAAAGGCUCCCGUCACCCUACAUCCAGGAAUUGUUGACCGUCCACAUCUUGGAACAAAUGACAACUAAAACCUAACGGCGUUUACAUCAUUCUCCCCUCUCUUGUAUUACCAAAUGAUCCAACAACGAUCCUCAAGAUUCUCAUCAGGCACGAGACUGAUCUUAUCAUCCUCAAGAUCCAAUCGCUCUGAAUGAAUACAAUGAUGCAAGCUCAGGCCAAGAAGUACAGCAAAGGGAGGAGGAAAAAAAAAAAUGAAUUCAGAUAAAAAUCUGAGUCUUACAUCAUUCAGACUUAUAUUUUUCCAUGUAUCAAAUUGUCAACACCACAGUCAUAAGUAAAAGCUUAAAACCCUAACUAAGCAAAGCUAAUCUAAUAAAACAGAAAAUUGCUGUGAGGUGUGCGCAAGCCACCCAGAACCUUUCCCUUAUCCCUUUCCAUUCUCUUUUUUGUGUAUCUACACCCAACCAGCAGAAGUGCUGUGCUUUCAGAUGGUAAUUCAGUGGUCCACAAUUUUUGGGCCCUUGUACUCAGCAGCCAGAACAAAGCAGUCAUCAGGUUUUCCCACCCUCUCUUUCAGCCAAGCAUGCCUCUCAUGCUCACCGGCCGCCAAAACCGCAUCGCCUGAAAUAGAAGCCUAAGUAAGCAAGUCCACUUCUACCAUCCAGUGAGUUCUAUACAUUUGUUCUAUGAGUUAAAUUUAUAGAUGAUUUUGCCUGGCCAUGCUUGCAAGAAGUUUUCAAGCCAUGGGUUAAGAUGCCCUAUGAAGGGUAGAGGAAACAGGAAUCCUACAAUAGGAAAGUAAGGGUUUCGCUCUCAUGUGGUUUAAUCUUUCACGCACAAUCACUGGGAAAUACAGAUAGGAACAAGUGGGAACUUGUUUAUGGAACUUUGGGACGUUUAAUGGGAAGAAGAGGUGGAAUUGAAUACAAAACUUGUGCUUGCAAUUUUACAGGAGUGCUGGGUGGGGAAGCUGAAGACCUCAUACAGAGGAUCAUUCACAUUUGAGUAACAGUAAUCCUAAUUUCCUUGGUCCAUCACAGCAUUCAGCAACAUGCACUGUUAAAAGGUUUUAGGCUGGGAAUUAACAUUACAUCAUGAUAACCAUGAUAGUGAACAAAUAUAAUAAUGCAUAACACAACAAUAAUGAUGCCAGCAUCUAAUUAUUUAAGCAAUUUGCAUCAAAAGAAAUGCAUAGAACGAAUUUUCAUGAUCUUUCCAUGAUGCCAGCAGAUAAAUGCUAUCGUCGAUGUCAUAAUAUAAGUAUAGCUAAAUGAAAUUAUGCAAAUGAGUUCAAAAUAAAACCAUACCAGAGGAACUCAAAUAUGGGAGGUCAUUAUAAUAUGCACAAUCUCUUCCUUCAGAUUUAGUGUAAGGUGGGCCAAGCACAUCCAGCACUGCACAAGAGGUCACUGCAGUAAAACGAUGCAUGUUGCCUCCAGCAGCUGGAUAUAGUAUGGAUGUCUUGCAUGGCACCUUGAAAACAUCAUCGGUAAUAACCUUGGCUAGCCGCGCACCUGGACCCGAAAAAAAAGGAAAAAAAAAAGAAGAAAAAGAAGAUUAAAUAUCACAUCUUUCAACCCAGCAUAUUGCAAAUCCAAACAAAUCCAAAAGAGCUUACCAUCAGCAUUUCUAACUGUCUCGUUCGAGUUCUGAGGAUUAUUAACCCAAUCAUACGACUUGAUGUGCAUUGACCCAAAAAGAAUCUUGCUAAAGACAGUCAUUCCUGGGUGAUUAUGCAGUGGGAUGACAGCAGACUUAGGCAUGCAGAAGAUACAUAUCUGCAGGAUACAUUUAGCAAUUCGAGAGAAAUACGGAUUACCAAGCAGCAUUCACAAACAGAUGCAACAGAACUGGUAGUAUAACAGGAAAUUACAGUACCGAGAACUUGGGACACUCAUAAAGGGGUAAGUAUGUUAUCACAGGAGGCCCUUCAGACACAACAUUGCGAAAAUACUGCAGGUUUGGAUUCAGACCAACAUCUUCUGGUUUCAUAACAUCUGCAGGAGAAAGAAACGAGCGCAAUUAUCAAACAAAGUCGCACCUGUGCAUAAAAUGCCCCACCACCUAUUUAUAUACUCACCCUAAUCACAUGAUAGAUUAUUUCCAACACUCAAAUCUCUGUCUACAGUAUCUAGUCAUGAAUCAUCACAUGCUUCAUGUACGGACUCGCUCAUCCGUUUAUACAAUCAAGUACAUAUAUACUCACCCUAAACUAACUGUUUCAACUAUUCCAUGGUUGUCCCCAUGUUAUCCUAUCACCGAUAAAUGGAAACUGAGAAAAUACCGAAACGAAACCGAAAUUGAUAGCUGAGGGCAUUAACAGAUCAUAUACACAGUAAAGCAUGAUGUUCGCCUAAUCCUAAUUUUGCAUACAUUUUUGUCUACAGUAGUCGAUGCAUGACAUUUGGUUCGCAUCAUAUUCGUGUUUGUCUUUGUAAGUCAAAACACUGUAAUCCAUGACAAUAAGAAAAGCCAUUACCAUGAGCUUUAGAUGGCAGCAUCCUUCUAUUAUUAUUCAUGCAAUGAGAACUAGCAAUCGCUGAUGCCAUAAUGAGAUCAUCAUUGGUGAAGAUUUGUGAGUCCAGAUAUCUUCACCAUCAAACAAUACUUACAAGUUACAAGCAUGCCUCGAGAGCCAACAAAGUAUCUUUGAGUGAUAGCUAUAUCGAAUACUACUUCCACUACCUUGAGUCCCUUUGGUAUAAGCCAAUAUCAACUAUCUAAUCAUGGCCAACUGAAUACUGCUAAUAGAAACAAGACAAAGCAAUCACUUGUAAUAGCAGCAACCAUCCAACAAUUCGAAACCGGUAUCAUGAAAUGCAGCAAUAGUUGCAAUUCUGAGAAAUCCAAUGAUCCAAAUAGGACAAGAAUCCAUAAUAAACAUAAAAUUAAUAAUUUUUUCCCAUGAAAUCAACUCUGCCGAAUGUAUAGCAAGCCAUGGCCAAUCUCAUAAAAAGAAUAUGUUUUUACCAUUAAUCCAAAUCAAAAGGCAGGAUUCAAAAGUUCUCUGCAAUGCACAUUAGGAUUUAAGAAAACAGGCGUGAAAUCAAUCCACAUCCUAUCGCAUUCCUCGAGCUAUCCACAAUACAAGCUUCGCAUGCUACCCGACUCCUCCGAAACGUACUAGAACAAGAAGUUUCUGGGACAUAAAAAUGCAAACUUUUUCACGAAAAAGAAGAGAGCUCGUACCAAGAAUGGCUCGAAGGCGCUCGAUGUCCUCCGGAGCCGGGACGACGUCGGCUCCACAAUUGGCGAAGAUCUCCUUGCAGGUAUCGAACAGCCUCUGGACGACAGUCGGCAUCGGCGGCGACUUCUUCUGCCGCCGCUUGCUCUUCUUCGCCGACUUGCUCUUCUCCAUCGCCGCCGCCUCCUCCUUCCCCUUCCUGUCGGCCAACCUCCUGUCAACCCCCCAUCAAGAUCGGCCCGACUCGCCCCGCCAACCCCUCAAGUAUCGGAAAAGACCAGAAUUGUUGGGAAAAAAGAUGGGAUUUUGUGCAAGAGGAGAGCCGAUGGGAUUUGAUGGCUUUAUACGGGUAGAAUUCUACUCACAGGAAUUGGAAGCAGGGGAAUUCCUGUGGAGGGGUGAUGGAGAUAUGGGAGUAUAAAAAGGGGAGGGAUUUGGGUAGUUUGGCUGAGACAACGAGCCUGGGUGAAAAAAACCAGGGGCCACGCCGAGGGAGAUUCUCCACUUUCCUGUGGGCUACUCCCAAACAGCCGUGGAUUUUUUUCUCCCUCUCUCUCUCUCNNNNNNNNNNNNNNNNNNNNNNNNNNNNNNNNNNNNNNNNNNNNNNNNNNNNNNNNNNNNNNNNNNNNNNNNNNNNNNNNNNNNNNNNNNNNNNNNNNNNNNNNNNNNNNNNNNNNNNNNNNNNNNNNNNNNNNNNNNNNNNNNNNNNNNNNNNNNNNNNNNNNNNNNNNNNNNNNNNNNNNNNNNNNNNNNNNNNNNNNNNNNNNNNNNNNNNNNNNNNNNNNNNNNNNNNNNNNNNNNNNNNNNNNNNNNNNNNNNNNNNNNNNNNNNNNNNNNNNNNNNNNNNNNNNNNNNNNNNNNNNNNNNNNNNNNNNNNNNNNNNNNNNNNNNNNNNNNNNNNNNNNNNNNNNNNNNNNNNNNNNNNNNNNNNNNNNNNNNNNNNNNNNNNNNNNNNNNNNNNNNNNNNNNNNNNNNNNNNNNNNNNNNNNNNNNNNNNNNNNNNNNNNNNNNNNNNNNNNNNNNNNNNNNNNNNNNNNNNNNNNNNNNNNNNNNNNNNNNNNNNNNNNNNNNNNNNNNNNNNNNNNNNNNNNNNNNNNNNNNNNNNNNNNNNNNNNNNNNNNNNNNNNNNNNNNNNNNNNNNNNNNNNNNNNNNNUUUUUUUUGAGAUUCUUUUGAAAGACAUGUUCUAGAUGCUUGGCAGAUGGCGUUCUCUCGUGGCACCACGGCUCCUAUUAAAUCCUUUUAUUCUAUUUCGUAGUGAAAGGGUUUCUUUCUCCCGUUUCUUUCCUUUCAUGCAAGACACUUGAUUUAUGCCCAUCCACCUAGAAAGAUGCUGUCUCCUAAAAGCAGAAGGACAUAUAUUAAUGUUAGUCUGACGAAUAAAAAGAUUUGGUAGCUAGAUGCAAAUCUUGGUAUAUUCGCUGCAUACAACUUAUCAACAAAAAAAGGAAAAAAACAUUAUCCAAUAUUUCUGAUUCAUUUAAUUAGUAGUGAUAUGUUUGAUAUGUUUUAUUAUAUAAGUGAAGAAAAAUUCACUUUUAUUUGAUCUGCAUUUUCUAUUCAUAUCUUUUUGUGUAGUAAAAGGUGGAGGCAUAUAUAUAAUCUCUAUCUACAUUACUUUUAAAAAUAAAUAAUAAAAUUUUGCCCAUAUCCUAAAAUAUCCUAGAUCAAUGAAAUUUUAUAAAUGCUAUGCUUAUGGCAUUUAAUAGCAUUGCCAUGCAUGUUAUUUUUUCUAUAAAACGACUAUGGCUUGCUAAUGCUUGGGUUGACUUAGAAUUUAUAAUCAUUAUUAAAAAUUUAAUAUUGUUUUUAAUAGUAUUUAAUCUAAUGCUUAAUUACUAAAACAAAAGCACUUCUUUUCUGCUGGUGAUGAAGAUAGCUGAUUGAGAUGUGAUGUUCAAGGAUAGGAUGGAGCCAUAUUUGGCAGGGAGAGAAUGGAGGACUCGCUUGAGGUCGAAGAGGGACACGCCAAGCCAUAAGAUGGUGAUGGGGGGAGGCUUGGCUUCUUGAGUAUUGUGUUUGCUAGGCUAGAUAGAAGGAUUUUGAGAGCCACAUAAAGAGUGGAUGGUAAAGAAGGAAAAGACAUGAUCAUCCAUUGUUUUCAAUUCAACCUAAACUCUGGCAGUGCCUAUGGCGAUCAAAGUGUCCUUUUAUUUCCUACAGUGGUUAUGGCAGAAGGGUUCGGUUAAUAUCUUUCGCACGAAAGAAUGAUUGAGCUUGAGCUUCUUUCAUGACAAUUAUUAUUGGAUUGCUUCCUAAAGCGGUCUCAAAGCACUCCAAACUCCUUUCAUUCUUCUGUUUACGCAGAUCUUGAAGCGGUCACUAUUGUGUGAUCCAACAGUGGAUUCACGUGAAGAAAGAUAAAUCCUUCUUUGCGUGAAAGAUACAAUCUUUAUCCAUGGUGGAAUGGGAUAUGCUCCAUGAGUGGGCAUCUAGAUAAAAAAAAAGCAGCUGCAAAUGCUAUCAACGGUUCUUCUUUCUUAUGCCAUCCAUCUAUAAGAGUUGUUUGAUUUGCCACCAUCUUUAAUAGGACUGGACUAAGUUCCUGGCAGAUUGGAGUCUCUCAUUUUGAUGAGUUUUGGCUCACCCAACUAUUUACCUUACUUAUGGUUGGUCGAUAUCCUAUCUAUUUCUUGAUUUGCUAACUAUAUUGUAAUUUAGGAGAUGUGGCAUAGCGUUUGCCAUCAAAGUUUAUCCCUGCCAAAGUAUCAGAAGUUUCUAUGAAAAACUUUAUUAUUGUGACUCGUAAUUGUGGGAGCCUGGCUAUUUGCUCUUAGAUGCCAUUCUUUGUGUUUUGUGUUUGUAAAUUAGACAUUGUGUAUUGAGUUGAUUGCAUAUAAUUCUAAGUGAUUGACAUUUCUAUAAAAACUAAAAUUCUCAAAGUGCAAAGCACAUGCAUAUAUAUGACUACUAGCAGUCAAAUAAGUUGCAUUUUAAGAAAGACGUUUAAACAUGGCCCGACUUGGAUAUUGGUCAAUAUGUAAGAAUUCUCUUAAUAAUUUAAAUUUUGAUUUCAUCAAUCAGUAAUAUGUUUGAUAUGUUUUAUUUAUAUAAAUCAAUAAAAAAAUUACUUUUGAUCGAUUGAUCAGCAUUCUCUAUUCACUCUUUCUACAGUAAAAGGUGAAGGAGCAUGUAUAGUCAAAUAAGUUGUAUUUCUUUUAACAAAAGUUUGAGCAUGGCCUCCCUUGGCUGUUGGUGUUAUGUAUAGAAUAUUUAAGAAUUCUUUUAAUAAGUUAUCCCAAAUUAUUAGUACUAACAAAGUAGAAUAUUUAAUUUUAAAAGAUUUUUACUUUUCUUCCACUAGUUUUUUUAUCCAAUCCUCUAAUUUUAUUUCUUCCUAUGUAACUUAAAUUUAUUGUCUUUAUUUAAUGAAUUUAUAAAUUAUAGUUUUAAAUUUAUGUGAAAUAACAUCAUAGAUAAUUAGGAUUUUCACAUUGAUUAUUACCUGAAUACAUGCAACUGAAGAUUACUGAGUAUUUGAUGGGUGGUCACAAUCUCAACAAGAAAAUGGUUAGAUAUACCUCAUUGGCUGCACGAUUGCAUGAAUAUAAUUAAUUGGUAUGUUCAUAUUAGCUCUAUCUUUAAACAAUAUUAUUUGAGCAAAAAAUAUAUUAACUAAUACAAAAAGGCUGUUUAAAGAGCACAUGUUCCAACUUCAUAUACAAAAUCUCAACAAUACUAGAUUCUUGUAAUAUAAAUUUAAGAGAAGUGUAACAGCAGGCUAUGUGAAAUCCACCUUUAUGGCUCUAUCUCACAAAUGUUCAAUUUGUAUAUUCUUAUUGCACACAUAUGUAAUAUAAAUACAUAGAGUAGCAAGGAAUAUGAUUAUGUAGAUACAAACGAUUUCUUAUAGAGUUUUAUUUUAUUAGAUUGCUUUCAAACGCUAGCCCCAAGUCAGAUGUAAAAGAAUAGAGGUUUGAUAUUAGAUCAACAUAUAUAGUCAUAAGGAAAAUGCCAAACUACAAAACAAAUUCAAAUACGAUUUCUCUUGGAAUAGCAGCAAAGGGAAUCUUAAAUAGAAAUAACAUUUGAAUAUCUGAAAAAUGUCAUUCUAAAUGUUAUAAAAGCAUGUCACAUAUGUUGCAAAACAAGUACUCCAACAAACUAAUAGCUAAUUAGAUUUGGCAAUGCUUAGAAAUCUGAGUCAGAAAUUAUUAGCUCCAUUAUAUUGGCACCGCUCUCCUAUGAGCUUAAGUUGGAGGGAAAGUCUAAAAUCCAAACUCUAAUGGUGACACACUUGCCACCUUACUGUUCGAAUAGACAUAUAUUAUUGAAUAUAUGGGAGGGAUGGUGAGCCAAUGAUCCAUGGCAUGUUUCUUAUCUCACUACAGUAGGCAUCACAUGACAUAAAUAUAGUACCCUAGCCCUCUUGUAUCCAUCACCAUCGCUUAGCAAAACAAAGACUAUACAUUGUAUAUAACCCUAAGUAGCUGGGAAAAGACCAAAUUAUUAUGGUUCAUUUGUCGUGUAAUAUUUUGGACACACUAUUAUCACCAAUACUAAUGAAUUUGGUAACAUAAAUUCUCGUAUGAGUCAGAAGAAUCAGGUGCCAAAUUGAUUUGCGUUGCUUGCCAUGAUGUUGAUUAGACUAAAAAAACAAAAAUGUACUAUAAAAAAAAUAAUAGUGUUUAUAAUGACGAAGCUUCCUAUGAACUAUCUUAAUACAUCAGCCCACAAUAUAUAAUGCAUAUAAUGUAGACAGGCAUGUCAAUGUCUCAAUCAUCCAAAUAAAAUUUUUAAGAUUAUAUAAACACAACUAUAAAAAUAUUUAUUAUUUCAACUCAAUAUAAUAAAAAUCUAAAAUAUAUGAUUUGUAGUUGAAUUUAGCCAUACUUGAUACCAUAAUAUUUGUUAGAAUCCAUUGAUUGAUUGACUGUGUCAAAUUUAGUCAGCUUUACUAAACUUCACAUUGAUUGACUUGUGAUUGAUUGUACCAAACUUAGUCACUCUUACCAAACUUCGUCAGCGUCCUAGUCUAUAUAAAGGCUGCUCCUGUAUAUUAUAACAAACAUGCAGAAAUAUAAUUUUCUUAUUUUCCUCUAUUCUCCAAAUUUUUUAAUAUGAUAUCAGAGCCACCGAUCACGUAAUAUGUUGUCGUCCUCUCUUCCGCUUUUCUUUAGUCGUCCUCGUUGCUCGCAGAUCCUCUGUUUCUUUUGCCUCGUUUGGAAAUAAAGUUGCCGAGGCUUCGGCCUCGACGGCUUUCAAAGUCUCCCUUUUUUCAUCGAGAUCCUGAUAACAUUCUAGCUUUCUUUUUUUUCUCCUUUUCUCUUUAAUUAAUUUUUUGUUAUUUUUUCAUUAAUUUUUGUUUGACUUUCAAUUGGAAGAUGACACCGCCGCCCACUUGAAUCCUCAAGGCUACAGUAUUUUUUUACUUACAAAAAUACCACCAGCAGCGCGUCAAACCAUACCAUUAGAAGCUUGGCAAAUAAAUUUGGCAGGCGCGAUCUCGCUCCAAACCCUAGCAGCAGCGUGUCAAACCGUACCAUCAGAAGUUGGGCGAGCAAACUUGGCAAGCUCGAUCUCGCUCCAAACUCCAACAACAGUGCAUCAAACCGUACCGUCAGAAGCUUGGUUGGUAAAAUUGGUAGGCGCAGUCUCGAUCCAAACUCCAGCAACUCCUACUCGUACUCUUGAUCUAGUAUGUCAGUUUUUUGGUACAUUCGUGAUAUAUUUUCCACGGCUAAUCAACUUGCGGACGUCUUCACCAAAGCUCAUUCUCCUGGCAUCUUUCGAUCCUCUUGUUUUUAAACUCAAGUUGGUGUCUACUUUAUCACCUUGAGUUUGAGGAGAGAAGUUAGAAUCCAUUAAUUGAUUGAUUGUGUCAAACUUAGUCGGCCUUAUUAAAUUUCAUCUUAAUUGAUUUAUGAUUAAUUGUGCCAAACUUAGUCAGCCUUACCAAACUUCGUCAAGCUCAUAGUUUACAUAAAGGCUGCUCCUGUAUAAUAUAACAUGCAGAUUUUUUUUUUCUCUCUAAAAUUUUUAACAAUAUUUAAUGAGACGAUGGAGAAGAAUACGUCGUAAGUAAAGGGAGAGUUCAAAAAUUUUAUUUUAAGGAAAAAAUUUAUGUCAUUCGUACAAUCGUUUCCGAGUGCUAUAAAAAAAAAAAACUGUGUGCGGUGACAGCACAAAAGCAGAGAUUAGCCGGUAGAAUUUUCCAGAGCAUGCACGCAAAGAGCGUGGGCGCGCAUGCGUGCCGAGGAUGCCCUCCCGUCAAACCUCGCCAUAACGAGGUGUAGUCGAAACGAGAGGUGGCGGCUGCGGGCUGAGCACGAGAGAGAGAGAGAAAAAAGAAGAAGAAAAGAUAGAGAUGAGAUAGGAGACUCCUCUACGUUCCUCAUUAAUAAUAGAGAAGUCGUUAUCCUCUUUUUAUGGAGGAAGGUGAGCCCUAUGCCAAGGCUCCAUGCUCCUAUCCUUGCUUUGAACUUUGGAUGCCCAUCUUUCUUAGAGCAGCAAAUGCAAAGACAAAAUAUUCUCGGGUUCGUGUUGCAUCUUUUGUGCUCAAGAAUGAUAGGUCUUCUUUCACCACAUCGACCAUUAGCCCCACACAUAUCUCAAAGCAUCCCGAGCUCAUUCGUUCAUCCACUUGUUCUACCUUUCACCUUAGACGCCUGUCCCAAGGAGAGCCUAAAACUAGAAGAGAGAACGAGGAGAAAUUAUAUCCUGCUGCACCACGUAGCUGCAGCAAGCCUCAUCACGAUACAUCGCUAAAAAAAAUGGAUGGUUGUGAUUGAUGCAUGAUGUAUCCGAUUAUAUGGUGCACACGAUCUAGAAUAUAAUUUUUUUGAGAACGAGAGCAAAAACAAAUAACAAAGGACGUUGCAUGGCGGGGGAGACAGGGUGCAUGGCUAAAACGUCGACGCACUAGAAUGUUCAUGGCACGAAGAAGUUUUGCUCAAUAAACUAAUUCGGUAAAUGUCAGGCUUGCAAGUCUAACGUUAUCUUGCAAAAUAAAGUAGAAGAGUGAUGCAAUCUAUAAGACGAUACUUUUGCCGGUCGACCUCAUCUAUAUAAAUUAUUAUGCGGACCAGAUCAUUGUGAAUUAAGAAUGGCAUCGUCCUAAAUAUAUUUAUUUCAGCCUAAGAUAAAAUUAUUAGGUGGUUUUAUUUCAUUCUAGAUUCAUGAUAGAUUUGGUCCACUUAAGAUGCGAGCUUAAGAACCAUACAUAACUUUUUACUUGAUCUCAUGUGCCAUGCUAGACCAGUUAAGAUGAUGUCAGAAAGUUUAUCUGGUUGCUUCCUGUGUCAUAAAGUCUAGAAGGGAGGACCAUACCGUUGUUUAAAAGGUACCCCCGAGCGAAAACCAUGAAAAGCUUGCAUGCAUGACCUGGCAACUCUACCUUUUGACAAUAUUAAUCCACCAAAUCAACUAAGGUAGUAAGGUUGUAAAAAUAAAAUGGUAAGGUUUGACCCAAUCGUAUAUAUGGACGCAAGGUGGUUGCAGAUUAAGUAGGAAACUGAGACCUCCUACGGCCUGUUUGUCAUAUUAAUUAAAUCAGAUCUGUUCAUUGAGAAAUAGGUCAGGAAUCAUUAUCAUCCAGAUUGUUUACUUGAAUUAUAGGGUAAACAACUGCCCUUUAAUGGUGAUUAGCUUAAAAAAAAAUGCAGCAUUAAUUGUCGAAAGUCAUGGUCCGAGAAAGGGGUCGAUUAAGAUGUGCCCUUAGUCUUUGAGGGGAAGCUUGAGCCAUACGUCAAGGCUCCAUGCUCCUAUCCUCGCUUUGAACUUUGGAUGCAGCCCAGCUUUCUUAGAGCAGCAAAUGCAAAGACAAUUUUUAAUGUAAUGAUUCAUAUGGCUCCAAGUGCACAUAAAUAUUCUCGGGUUCGUGUUGCAUCUUUUGCGCUCAAGAAUGAUAGGUCUUCUUUCACGACAUCAACCAUUAGCCCUACACAUAUCUUAAAGCAUUCCGAGCUCAUUCGUUCAUUCACUUGCAUAAAUCUCAAAGCAGCUUACACGAUCCAAUGGUGGAUUCGUUCGAAAUCGAAGGAAGGUGAGUCCUUCUUUCGUGCAUAAGAUACAACCCAAGUUGACAAGGAAAAAUUGGUGUAGCUCACAAGUUUGUACUGCAAAAUGCACUAGUGCAUAGGUUUAUUGUAGAGUUGCCGAAUCAACUGUUGUGAACUCAUAAACUUUUUUACCUUCAGAAAAAAAAAGAACCUAUGAACUUUUUUGAGUGCAUUUACGGGCAAAAAACACCAUCCCAACCAAAACAGAAAGCAUGCACAUAUAUAGGUUUCACACAAUUCAUUCUCAAGGUCACUCAUCCAUAGAAAGCCGGUAAAUUGAGUGAUUGAUCCAUAAAAGUACUCAUCGCACAAAUCUACUCAUGCUUGCAAGGUAUAUAUACAAGCAGAUCCUUGCAACUUCUAUGGGAAAAAAGACAUCCACAUUUUCGUUUCCCAGUCAAGUUUGGUUGCUGUUACUUGUUCAUGCAGGUUUAUUUGGUUGUAUUCUUCUUAUUUGUUUAGGCCUUUGUCCUCUCAUAUUACAAAGAAAAAGAAAAAAAAAAGUUCAGAAUUCUCGGUCUCCACGUCAGAAUCUUUUCAUAAUCCUUUGUGGCACAUAACUGGAUGCAAAUGGACUCCUAUAUAAGCUGUAUAUGCGAGAACGCAGUAAGCAGCACAUUGUUUUGUAAAACUUUGGAUGCCAACUGUGGAACUGUCAGAAGGAGCAACCUUUAAAUUCUUCAGGAUCACAGUAGCCAGUACAGUAGAGCUGGAAAUUUCCUGGAGUCAUGAGAGCGUCCACACAGUACAAGUAUUGUAUCUGAGAAAGUUGGCAAAGGUAACCUAGUUUUUCUCAAAAAGAAACAAAAAAGGAUAGCCCAGUUGCUGCCUGCUAACCAGUGGAGCGCAUUUAAAAGAGGCUAUAAGGAUGAGAACAAGAAAAGGUAAGACAAAAAGGUUGGAAACAUGGAGAAAACAUAGUACGGGCAUUUGAUGGCUGUUUAUGCAACCUAUUGGCUAAUUAAUUUAGACUAAGGAAAAAUAACUUUCAGCCCCGUAGCCUGCAUGUUCCCACAAAUCGAGGGGUGCGAUACAAAACCAAACUAUGGGUGGGCAUCAAAAACAGUGGGUUUUUGACCAAAAAAAAAAAAAAAACAGUGGGUUGGCUCGUGUAUUCUUGAUUGAUUAAAUGACACAAAAUCCAACUAACCCUUCUUGCUAUAUGGGCAGGGCAAGUGACAGAAAGGUAACAGUGUCCUAAAAAUCAGCUGCGUAUCAAACAAAGUGCUCAUGAAGCCAGGAUUUGUUCCCUUCUCGUUUCCCUACCUGGUAAUUCAGAUGACAUAACCAUCUCACGCUUUUGAAAGAAAAAAAAAAGGACACUGGUAUGGUUCGGGAUGAUUUAGAUGCUAGCUUUCUUUUUGAAGAGGUCGAGACGUCAAAAAAGUCACGAUCACACGAAGUUAUUAAAGUCCUUACGUGAGGUUCGUUUUCAGCGAAUAUGAGAUGAAAUAGCUUAUGAGAGCAACAAGUUCGCCAAAAAUGGCCUCAUGCAUGCAGGGACACAGGUGAUUGUGUCCACCUUUUUGGCAUUUCAAUUGCUCUUGCUUAGCGAGUAGGCAAUUUGACAUGAGAGAAAAGCGGACAGCGGAUCACCCCAUUAAUUUACACGUUAGGGUAGUGUUUCAGAUAUCAAAAUUUAUCCAUCUUGGUGGGUCUAUUUUAUAAUUUCUAUAAAGCUAAUGUACUCGUAUCGUCAAGUUACACUUGCUCUAGUGCAUUACCUUGCAAGAGUAUCUUAUUUUGUGCUUUAAUGAAGUGGAUACUGGAUUAUGGGAUGCUUCUUACCAUCCAUGGACACACUUUCAUGUAAAAAAAAUUAACGAUGGAUGUGUAAUCAUAGAGAACAAAUGGCCUUUAAACUUUAUGAGAUGUACUUCUCGGUCCAUAUUAUAGUGUCCAUCAUUCCAAAAGGCGGCAUUUAUGUUUGCUGGUAGAGUUGGGCAUUGGGCCGGGCCGCCCAUGGCCCGGCACGGCCCGCUUGCUACAGUAACGGGCUGUGUUAGGCAUGGUUCAUAAAAGAGGGUCGGGCUGGGUUAAGGAUUUCUGGCCCGCGGGCCGAGCCUGGCAUGGCCUAUAAGGGCCUGGGCUGGCACGAUUCGUGGGCCAAGCACGGCACGGCCUGCGGGCCAGCCCGGAACGGGCCAUAAGGGCCUGAACUGGGCCCGGCACGGCCCACAAGGGCCUGGACCGGGCCAGGCAUGGCUCGUCCCCCUUAAAAUAAAUGGAAAUAAAAUUUAAAUCAAAAUGGUACAUGAAGGGAAGUUUGGUCUGACCUCCAGAAUACAAUAAGAAAAGAGAAAAAAUAGAGAUGACUCACUUUAACAAUUAAAAAAAUAAAAAUGUACAAUUAUAAAAAAUUAAGAAAUAAAAAUAAAUGAUCAAAAUCUUACUAAUCAUCAGUAUUCACUAUUCAGUAGUGUUUCUAUCAUCAUCAUCAGAGGAUGUUGUAUCAUGUCCACCUUUAUUUUGAAGUUUCGCCUUAGCAUCUAACCAAUCUUUGAAGCAGAGAAGCAUCUCAACCGUUUCGUCAGUUAUCCUACUUCUCUUUUCGUCAAGAACACGCCGACCUGCACUAAAAGCGGAUUCCGAUGCUACUGUGGACAUCGGCACAGCUAAAAUAUCGCGUGCAAUGGCAGACAUAACAGAAUAUUGAUUUUUAACACUCUUCCACCAAGAUAAUACAUCUAGACUCUCUAUUUGAUUUUCAUUAUAUGCAGACUGAAGAUCAUUUCGUAAAUAAAAUUCUAGUUCACUACUUAAAGAUGAAGAAGAUGAAGAUGAACUUGAAGCAUGUGUGUGUUUUCUCUGUGCAAUGAAUGAAAAAAUGGAUGAUGAACGAGAACUACUAGAAGAAGAAAUAGAGCUGUGUACGGAGAAUUUAAAUCCACGAAUUUUUUCAUCACAUAUAGCAUAAAUAUCAUAAAGAAGUUGUGUUACCUCAAUUUUAGCAGGUUCAGGAUCUUAAAACAUAUUUUCACAAUAUGCAUCAAGUAAAAUUAGUAUGUCAUUCAAUUUAACUCUUGGAUCAAAUACAGCAGCUAAGUUAUGCAUAGGACAUAUCUUGUCCCAAUACUCAUUCCAUUUAGAUUCCAUUUGUUCAAUAAUAGGCAUUAAAACAUCAUCAUAUCUAUGUUCUGCAAAUUUUUGACUAAUCAUAUAUGCUUGUUGUAAAAAUGAAUAUGAAGUUGGAUAAUAAAUACCAGAAAGAACAUUAGUAGCAUUAUAAAAACUAACCAAAANNNNNNNNNNNNNNNNNNNNNNNNNNNNNNNNNNNNNNNNNNNNNNNNNNNNNNNNNNNNNNNNNNNNNNNNNNNNNNNNNNNNNNNNNNNNNNNNNNNNNNNNNNNNNNNNNNNNNNNNNNNNNNNNNNNNNNNNNNNNNNNNNNNNNNNNNNNNNNNNNNNNNNNNNNNNNNNNNNNNNNNNNNNNNNNNNNNNNNNNNNNNNNNNNNNNNNNNNNNNNNNNNNNNNNNNNNNNNNNNNNNNNNNNNNNNNNNNNNNNNNNNNNNNNNNNNNNNNNNNNNNNNNNNNNNNNNNNNNNNNNNNNNNNNNNNNNNNNNNNNNNNNNNNNNNNNNNNNNNNNNNNNNNNNNNNNNNNNNNNNNNNNNNNNNNNNNNNNNNNNNNNNNNNNNNNNNNNNNNNNNNNNNNNNNNNNNNNNNNNNNNNNNNNNNNNNNNNNNNNNNNNNNNNNNNNNNNNNNNNNNNNNNNNNNNNNNNNNNNNNNNNNNNNNNNNNNNNNNNNNNNNNNNNNNNNNNNNNNNNNNNNNNNNNNNNNNNNNNNNNNNNNNNNNNNNNNNNNNNNNNNNNNNNNNNNNNNNNNNNNNNNNNNNNNNNNNNNNNNNNNNNNNNNNNNNNNNNNNNNNNNNNNNNNNNNNNNNNNNNNNNNNNNNNNNNNNNNNNNNNNNNNNNNNNNNNNNNNNNNNNNNNNNNNNNNNNNNNNNNNNNNNNNNNNNNNNNNNNNNNNNNNNNNNNNNNNNNNNNNNNNNNNNNNNNNNNNNNNNNNNNNNNNNNNNNNNNNNNNNNNNNNNNNNNNNNNNNNNNNNNNNNNNNNNNNNNNNNNNNNNNNNNNNNNNNNNNNNNNNNNNNNNNNNNNNNNNNNNNNNNNNNNNNNNNNNNNNNNNNNNNNNNNNNNNNNNNNNNNNNNNNNNNNNNNNNNNNNNNNNNNNNNNNNNNNNNNNNNNNNNNNNNNNNNNNNNNNNNNNNNNNNNNNNNNNNNNNNNNNNNNNNNNNNNNNNNNNNNNNNNNNNNNNNNNNNNACUCGGUUCGCUGGUUCUAGAGGAACUAGGAACAUGGGGUUGGGAUUACUUUCUUCUCCCUCAGAAAUAGGAGGAAUGCCAAAAUGACUUUCAUCAUAAGAUGACAUAUCUAAAUUGAUGAAUGCAAAAAAUAAAAACUAACCAUAAGAAGGAAUUGAGUAGAGGACCAGAGGUAGAGCCGAGAUUUGUGAGCUUCCUCUUGUGCUCUCAACAAGGAGUAACCUUCUCUUUCUCUUGUACUUCUAACUUCUUAACAAGAACCUCCUCUUAUGUAGCACUUGAACACUUACUAAAUGCAAACUAAAAAUUAAAUUGCUAAAAGCCUAGAGCACUUGCUAAAUAUUGCUAGAAGAGAGAAAUAGUAGUAGUAGAGAAGGAGAGAAGAGUUGGUUUGGUAUGGUGAGAAUGAGGGAGGAAAGGGGUAUUUAUAGGACUCCAAAUUUUUUUCCCAAAAUACCCCUCAAAUUAGUCGUUUUAUGGCUGUUGGGAGGGGCAAAAUGGGUAAAAAGCCACAAAUAGCCGUUAUGGGGCAAAAAAAUAGCCCAUAACGGAUGGGCCGUGCCAAGAGCUUCGUUUAUAGCUAGAAAGAAGUUAUGCGAGGAUAUUUUUCUGGCUGGUGGCGUGAAACAAAGUAAAAAGACUUUUUCCUCUCUAUUUUUCCUUUCUUUAAAAAAAUAUCAGCCCCACUUAACCAAGAGCAGCACUAUUUAGGUUUUCUCCCGUCUUUCUUUUACCGUGCUCGCCUGCCGAGAGUGCUACAAGAAUAGGAAGAAGAAAAAGAUCAUUUGAAGAUAAAUAGACAGAGUUUCUCUAUUUAUGUCUUCCUUUAGGAGGCCUGGUAGGUAAUGGGCUAUUGAACAGGUUAGCCCUUGAUACAAUUCACCUGGAACCUCCCCUCAACCUUGAUGGAACUAGGAUUUCAGAACAAAUCUCUGGCAACUCUGGACUCUGGACUUGUUUCCUACUUGUACGGCAACUCAACACAAAUAUGCUAUGAGGCCCUUCCUAUGCUUUUUAAACUCUAGAACCAAAAAAAAAGAAAAAAGAUUGUAACAUUAUCCAAAAGGGCAGGUGAUCUGUGUUAUUUUCAACUGAGGGAUGGGAAUGCGGUCCCUCAGGGUGGACCAGCAACAGAUGCAGCCAUCGGUACCAGGUAGAAAAACAGAAGAUUUAGUGGAUUUAGUGGCCGCCCUGAAGGGGCUCGUCAGAAUCUUUUUUUUUUUUUCCUGACGUCAGAGCUUGCCCUCGUCGCUACGUCACCGUAAGUUCGACUCCUGAGGUCAUCUUGUCAUAGUAUGAUAUAUCCCGGGAAUGUCUAGUUUCAGCGAGGCAAGAGGAUUUCUACGUGAACUAGAAGGUAACUAGGGUGGAAAGAACUUUGGCACUCAGGGCGGCGAAAACAACUUGUUAAGUGGGGAAAAGCAUCUCUUUGAUGUUGUCCAAAGAGGCAUUUCCAGGUUCAUCUCCCAUGGCUUCUUUAGCUGUAAAUGACUUGAAAAAAUUGCAACAUAAGAUGCACAAAAGCAUGAAUCAGCAUCAUUUUCAAAUAAACAAACGUCUGCCCAUCCACACUCGGAGGACCCGAUCUUGGACCAUUAUUAGCGACACGGCGAUUUAGCUGCUUACAAAAUUCAGCAUCUUUCCCCUAAAACGAAUGGUUUACAUAUGAUUUUGGUCAUGCCAUGAUAAAAGAUAUACGAUCCUGUUGACUUGCAACAGUCAACAGUCAGAAUAGAUUUACAGCCAAAUCACAGGAUGAACAGCUGCGUCCCUAAUUGAUCUUGGAAGUUUGAACCGAACAGGGAAAAUUCAGAACAUGUAGACCACACUGUCAUGAAUCCGGGACCUCUGAUUCUGUGCCACGCACUCAGAGAUCCACAUCAGGUUCCUUAUCUCCUGCUCCCUCAGUCUCAUGUAUGCGAAGAACACAGCAAAGUGAAACUGCAUCGUGAUGAAAAAAUGGUUAAAACAUGUAUGUCCCUGCUAGAGCUAGAGUAGCUAAGAAGAACGGCUUAAAUUCUAGAAACAUAUAUAAGCCAUGGGAAUAUUUUGUAAGAAUAGCACAGGCAGAAUUCCAGAAAUCCUGAGAAUUUAGUAGUGUUUGCAUACUGGAGGACAAUAAUCCCGCUGGCCUGCAUGCAAGCCAUUAAAACAGACUGAUAAAGUCCUCAAAAGGGGACAUGAAGGAUGAAUCCUCGAAAUGAUCAGAGGAACUGCGCUAACAGGUCUACAAAUUACUUAACCAAGUUAAUAGCAAUAGGUUCCAAAGAUGCUACCCGGUGGGGCCUAAUAGCAUCUAUAACAUUAUUCUACUCCUCAGAGCUGGGAGCAGGUGUAGGUGCAGGAAGCGGAUAUUUAAAUAUCCUUUCAGUAUGUGCUGGGUGCAGGUUUAAGAUUCUGAGAAGAUUACAAAGCAGGUGUGGUAGUCUGCUGCGAUAUUGUAAUAAGAGACUAUAAUAUACUUGCCCUACAAACUGAAAUCAAUGCAUGCACGUCCCCUGAAUCUGAAGGUAAACUCUUCAAACCCCUUCAGAACAAAAUAGCGGCAGCCAAAAAAAUAUCUGAACAAAUAUGGUAAAUAGAAACCAAACUGAAUCUAAAGCAUGCCAAUGUUUGUUCUGAAGGCAGCUUCAUUUCAACCCUUUAGGAUAAUGCAAAUAUUUUAGAAACUUGCAAAUUGUAAGUGGAAAUGACAGGAAUAUGACAUGGCACAGUUAUGCACCCAUAAUAAUGGCCUUAAUAAUGUAACCAUAUAUAUGCACAAAUGGCAAUAUAAAACGCCCAAAACAAUUAUUGUGAAAAAGAAUAGUGAUCAACUCUACGCAAGAAAUUUUCCCUCUGUAGAAAAGGAUAGUCAAGCAGGAUAAAUUUACUGAGUCAAAUAUAAGCAAUAAGGCCCUGUUUGGCAAAGCUUUCGGUUGGCCAGAAAGCACUUUCUGACAUUCCAAAAGUACCUUUGAAUAGAAUAGGGGUGUUUGAUAAAAAAAUCGAAAAGCUGUUUUAGCUUUGCCAGAAAACUGAAAACGUAGAGAAACUCCAAAAUGGAGUUUCUUCGAAUAAGUACUUUUAGCAUGCGUCGGAAAGCCGUUUUAGAUUUAUAAUUUUUUUAAGACCAAAAUACCCAUGAUAGAAUCAUAUAAUUACAGGAAGUGUCCCUUUAUAUCAUAAUGCACAAAGAAAGAAAUCUGCAAGAGGGCCAACAAACAAGAAACCCUAAUCGGCCUUGGCUCUCCCUUGCCACGUGAUCAAGGUAUCAUUUCUUUUCUCCAGUUAAUUAUCCAUCGUUUUGAAUAAGGAAAGCAUUGAAAAGAAAGGAAUCGUAAAAUCUUACUUUUGCAAGUAUGAUUGUGUGCCUUUGUAUUUUCUUCUAAAAAUUAGUUCCUAAAAAUAUUAUAUUGAUAAAAUAUUAAUAUAUAAUGAUAAUAAUUAUAAUAUUUUUUAUCAAAAUAUUGUAUUAUACUAUAAAUAUAAUAUUAUAUUACAUUAUAUCAUAAUACAUUGAUAUGUCAUGUUAUAUAAUAUCAAAUUAUAUUAUAUUAUUAUGCUAUAGUAUACAAUAUUAUAUUAACUACAUUAGAAUAAUAUUAUAUUACAUUACAAUAAUAUUAUACUAUAUCAUAUUUAUGGAUUAAUACAUAUUAUAUUUUAUUAUGCUCUGUUGUAUAAUACUAUGCAAUGUCCUUUGUGGUUAUUUUGUCAUACCAAAUAUACUUUCACGUUUGUUUGCUAAACACAUAUUAAAGUUUCACAACACUUUAGAAAUAUAGUUACCAAAUAACAAAUAGCUUUUUAUAAAAGCUCUAUAUCAAAAAGCUAUACUUCCGAAAGCUCUACUGCCAACAGCUCUGCCAAACAGGGCCUAAGGAUAAUGGAUAUAGCUACUAUGGUGGUUGGAUAUGACUAAAACUAAGAUCAAUCAAUAAGAGAAAGCGGAAAUAUAUCAAAGUGAUGUGUUUCAGGAGAACAGCACAGCAUUGUCACUAUAAUUCCAUAGAAGUACUAAAAAGAGAGCUAAAAACAACAAAACGAAACUUCGUGCACAAUCUAGAGACUUGCCAAUUAUAGAAGCAAAAGGUACAUGAAUAAGUCUAUUAGAGCAUAUCUGACCUAUGCAAUGACCCAAGCAAUUCCAAGAGUUUCAACAUAUGAGGACACAAAGCUAUAAAUGUAAAGUCUGAAGAAUGUACCUGCUGUUCAAAAGCUAGGCAAAGCCUUUUAACUUCCUCUUCAUAAAAUGCCUUGUCCAGCAUCUGGCUUUCACCAUAAGACAUUUUGGCAAAAAUUGACUGAUACGGAGGAUAUUUCUCCAUAACAGCACGAACCUGUAAAAGUUGUUGACAUGAAAAGGGACAUGGUAACAUUCAUCAAUAUCAUCCUUUUAUAGACCUCGCAGAACAAAAAAAUAAUCCAAAUUAUUGUAUGGAGGUCAACAAAGCACAGUGAAGAAUUAAAUAUAGAAAAUAGAGCAGACAAGGUCAUCAUUUUGGCUGAAACAUGGUGAUCAAACAUUGAUAUCUUGUCGGUCAAAAGUGAAAAGCACAAAAAUAAAAGCAUAUGCAAGGAUACUUAUAUCUACUCUCAAGUCCCUCUAUUAUGGAACACCGAUCUGAGAAGUCUUUAGUUGAAAUUGGUUGGGGCAUGCAAAAAACAAACUAUGAGACCGAAACAUACAGGAAAAUUGAAGGGACAAAAGGAUGAUAAAAGAAAAAAGUGGAGUGUUGGCCAAUCCCAUUGCUCUAGCUGCUCCUCAUGACAGCAGAGCAGCCAAAGGAAGCCAAAUCUUGAUGUAUGCCCAUCACACAUCAUGUGGCCACAUCAACCUCUCCUGUGGAAUACCACACCACCCUAUCACUUAAAGGGGGAAGCGCUCGGCAUAGGGCAUAUUUCUUUUACUCAAGAAAAGUAGCGGCAUACAUACAGAACAAGAUACAUACAAACAUCCAAUUGUCAACAUGAAAAAUGAAAACUUUCUGCUUGUUUCUUGGCUUCAAAGCAACAUGAAACUGCUGAGAUUUCCAAUUCGGCGAUGUACAUAUACCACUGAAGAUGCACACUUAAAGAGAAUGCCAAUUGCAUUGUCACUACUCACUAUUAUUCAGCUUGGACUAAUUUGUAAUGCAAAAUACACUGCAAAGUAUACAGUUAUGGAAGAUGCAUAAAAAAAUUUUAAAGUACCAACCAAUAGUAGCAACAUUCUAGAGAUAGACGAAGUCAUCAAGAACACUACAUAGGUAAAUGGAUGAGCAAUUUCUUUGGAUUAUUCAAGAUACUAUGUACAACUACACAUAAAAUUGAUAUUACCACCUUACAAAUUCUCAAUGGAAAUCUGUCCCAGAAUCUUACCUGGUCAAUGUCCUCACAGACUGCAAGUUCUUCAUGACCAUAGGGAUACCUACAAAGCACGAAGUUGUUACCUAUCAAGCAAAUGUUGCUAAGAAUCAUUUAGACCUAGCCCAGUGAUAAAAGGUUCUGUAGAUACUCACAACAAACCAAAAUUAGAAUAAAGCCUCCGCCGAUCAUCUCUAGUCAACUCAGUUCCAAUACUGUACAGCAAAAAAUAAAUAAAUAAAUUAGCAAUAUCAAUAGUAUGAUGCAAUUAUGAGAUGCUUUUUAACCAGAUUCAGAGUAAUGCGAGCAAACAUUUAGAAGAAGCCAUGCAGAAAAUUACUGACUGUCAAGUAGGUAACAUAUGAGGAAAGAAUAUAUAUUAAUAACACUGCAUGCCCAAAGACGUACAGAAGCUCCUUCAAAUAGAUGCACUAUAUUGCUGGACCCACCUGUUUAUGGUGAUAUUGACAGCUCUUCUAUCAGCUUCAAAAGCAAGGAGAUCAGACAUUAUCUCAGCAGUUGCCCCACCUAGUUUCUAUUUUAUAACAUCAUCAGAAGAAAAUGAAAUUGACAUGUGUAAAAGCUCGAGAGAAAUAGACUACUAAAUAGAUGAUUGAUUAUUCUUUACCUGGCAGAAUUUAUAAAAAUCCUCGAGGUAAGCUUUGUAAAGCGUGUUCCUCAUAAUUUCAAUAUUCAUGUCAUCCAAGUCCUACAAGAAAUUGCAAAUCAGAUAUGACUAUAAUAUUGAAGUUGGCAAAAUAAGGAAACUAACAAAAAUUGUGCCUUCCAAAUUAUGUUAAAUCAAUUUUUUGAUUUUACAAAAACUCAUGUUGAGUAUCUCAUGCAUAACUUAGAAUUUGGCCACCAAAUUAAUACCUCAGAUGUGAUGCAUUCUGAGAAGUAUGGAGCCAAUGGUGUAUCAACAAGAACUAAUCUGUAUAGCUCACGCAUGUUUUGAGCAACAGCGAGGGUUGCAAUGCUGCAGACGAAAAGCAAGACGUGAGACCUGAGAUACCCUCAUAGAUGGUUGAACCAACAAAAGCAAGACUUAGCAGUACUGCAAAUAAAUACCUGUCAAACAUACCCAAAGGAUGGCAUUUUUCUAAUAACUCCUGAACAUCUCUCUCAUGCAAGGUCCCAGUGACAAUAAGAACAACAUUGUCUAUCAUGUGACCAUACCUAUAAGCAACAAUAGAUGAAUAAGUUUUCCAUUGCAACCCAAAAAAAUCUGUCUUGCAACCUGAAUUUUAGAUAAAAAAUCACAUUGAAGAAUCUGCCGAAAAGAUGGAUACGAUAAUACAUACGUUAUGUACUCCAAAAAAGUUGACAAUGGCUCCGUCGCUUGGCAUAACAUAUGUUUGUACUCGUCAACCAGUUUCAGAGUGGACUUCUCGACAAUUGUAGUUGUAUGUAACGGAGAAGGCUCUACAAUUAGCAAAAAGGAUUCGUCUCAAAUAAUCAAGUUACAAUACCAAAAGAAAACAAGAAUGUGUAAUUUGCAUAUAAGAAAUCGACAUAGAAAUACUAAGAAGCGCAAAUUUUUCUCAUGCAAUUGGCUCAUUGUAAGCAUACUUGGGGCUUUUGGUCUCAGUAUUCCACAUACGACCAUCAAUCUUGUGGAUCACAAUGAAAUCUAGACCUGCUUAUUCUUCUUCAACCGUAAUAUUUACAAUAUAAACAUGAGAUCAUGCUUUCAAGAAAUCUUUCCUCGAUCCAUUACUGUUUUAAAUUUUUAAUAAUCAAAUAGAUCACCGCAAAACAAGGAGGCAGAAUGAAGAGAGAGAUCUUGCGAGGAAAAUGGAAGCCAAUCUCAAUCGGAUGGGAUAAGGAGAUGCAGCUCACCAUUCUGGAGGUAGGGGCCGUACUCGGUGGCGGAAAGGUGCAUCUUGAUGUCGUCCAGGGUUUCGCACUGGCAGAGAUUGUUGUAGUCGGCGACGGUGAGCAGGCCAGACCUAUGGCCCCGGACGAUCGCCUCCAGGUACCCGCCAUGGAUGUUGAAUGUUAGGGCUUCGAAUCCGUACAUCUUCGAUUCGACUACCAAGAUCCGCGACGAGAUCGAAAGGAAUUUGAGAGAUCCAGAGAGAGAAAGAAGAAGGGAGGGAAGAUCGGAAGAGCGGAAACCCUAGAAAUCAAGAAGAGCGACCAAGAACAUUGGGACAAGAAGGGAUUCGGUCGGAUCGAAAUACGUGGUAAGGAACCGUCAAUAUCUUAGCUGGAGUGAAACAUUGGGCUGGGCCAAUAUUUAAGCCGGUUGGGCAAAAUUAUUUCAUGGGCUUUGCUUUACUUGCUUUACAAACAUUGGCCCAAAAUACAUAGUGGUCAGAGAUUGGACCAGCAGUUGUGGGCCCGCUAGCCCAGAUCGACCCAAAUGAGGUGUAGCGGAUUUUGCAUAAAACAUCCAUUAAGUAUUGAUUUUACAAGGAAAAAAAAGUUUUGUUUUUUCUGUUUUAAAGAUAUAUCUAGGGAUCUUUUCAUGAUUUUUUUUCUUGAAUUUAAGUAUGAGACAAGCAGUAUUCUAAACAAAUAUAUAUUGGAUAUUCAAAAAAUAUGCGUUAUUUUUUCUUGCUAGACCUCCAUAUAGAAAAGAUCUAGGUCUAGGUCAUGCUUGCUACAGAGGAAAGCAUAAAAUUUAAUGUCCUAGUAGCCUACAAAAUUUCUAGAGUUUGUUAUUAAUAAUUAUGAUUCGAUCAGGAAGAAGAAAAUAAUUUUUGAACUCGUUUAACUCUUAGCAAUAGCAGUAAGAUUGAUAAAAGUAGAAUCCAACUCCUCUUUUCUUUUAUUGAUCCCCCAUAAGCUAAAAUAUAUAGACCCUAUUAUAUUUGUAAGGUCCGUCCUUACACAAUCUAUGUAAAAUUUCUUUCCAGUUCAAAUAAGAUGCAUCUUUUCCAAAACAUACAUAAUUAGUGAAAUAAACAUAAAAAAGCCAAAAUUAUAUAUGAGAUAGACCUUGACUUCUACAUCAACAUUGUUUUCAGUUGCUCUAACUAGUUCUUUUUAGAUUAAGAAAUAUGUUUGGUCAAAUCUUUCUUGAAAAUGAGAGUUUUAGUUUGAUCAAUCUGUUUGAAGACCUGAACAAUGAAAUUCGGCUUUGGCAUGUCGUAGAAUUCAAAAAACUAAUCAAUUUUUUUUUAAAAAAAUAAAGAUUAUAUCAAUUAAAUAUCAUAUGGCCAAGUUAUAGCAUGAGAUUCAACUUUCCAAUGUAAUGGAUCUCACUUCUAUAUCCCAUCUAAUCCUUUCUGUGGUGCCCAAAAUUGUCCACAUUGUGAUCCUCCUGGAUCAAAUUAUGAUGCAAGCCAAGGAUCAUUUACCUAUUAUGUUUUCAACAAAGCUCAAAAUCAUGAACGUCGGUGUUCUUCUGUCGAGAUCCUAUGAAAAUUAGAGGUGACUGAAAAUUCUCAGCACAAAGGGGAGCUGCAAGGUUUUCUAGUUAUUCCUUUAACUUUAGUUUUAAGUUUCCAAAUCUAAAGUUUUCUCUUGUCGUUCUAUUUUCCAGCUCACAGGAUUAACACACGGGAUUAACAUGAUUCAUGUAUCUGGAUUAACACACAGGAUUAAUGGCUAUCCGAACUCACGGGAUUAACACACAAGACCCUCAAUUCACAUUCCCAUCCUACAUCUUUCACCAAAUAGGCCACCUGAGCAGGGUCAGACAGGAGAUUCAAGGGAUUCUGCAGAUACCUGAGUAGGAGGAGACAUUGACCUACCUGGGAGUUCCCAUCACAGGCCACAGACUACGGGUGGCAGAGUACUCUAGUCUGGUGCAGCGGGUACAGAGCAGGUUGGAGGGAUGGAGAGCGGCCUCCCUGUCUAUGAUAGGGAGAUUGACAUUGAUUAGAUCGGUGUUGGGAUCCAUGCCAGUAUACCUCAUGGCCAAUACUGUGGUUCCGAAGACGACCUUGCUGAGGAUUGAGCGACUGUUUCGGUGCUUCUUGUAGGGGUCACACGGCAGAGGCCGCGGGGUGCAUUUGGUGGCUUGGGAGCAGGUCUGCCGGCCUACCAGUGAGGGUAGUCUCGGGGUGCAGUCCCUACUAGAGCGGUGCGAGGUUUUCAUCGCUCGGCAUGCAGCUUGGUUCCUGUUAGAGCCACACGGGCUGUAGAGUCAGAUGAUGACAGCCAGAUACGGUCGAGAGGGCUCAAAGGGGGCAUGGAGUGGGCAUUGAGUCUCCUUCAUGUGGCGCGAGAUUGGGAGGUACUUGCCGACGAUGUCGGCAAACACUAGGUAGCUGAUAGGCAAUGGGCGGAGUAUUGAUGUGACUGCGGAUCCAUAGGUGGAUACCGUUCCACUCAGGUGCUGGCCGACCAUGGUCAACACUGAGGUAGUGGAGGGGUUGCGGGUUUUCGAUCUUCUUGCCCCGGAAGAGUCAGCAUGGGAUGAUGCCUGAUGAGAGUAUAAAAGUGCGAUCUACACGCUGCUUAAAUUAGUAUUACUAGUAACAUAUAACGAUAAAAUCACUAAGUUAAUAUUAUAUUUUUGUUUGGCACAGGUUAGUAUAAAUUAAAGUUUAAAUGCACAUUUGGUAGGGAUUAGAGAGAUGCAUCAUGGCCCAAUUUGAAAUUCGGGCUGCGACAAUAAAUAUGCUAUCCAAAUUUCAUGGGUUUGAAAGUGAACAACCCUACAUUCAUCUAAAUAAAUUCAUGACAAUUUGUAAAACUUUCAAAAAUCAAAAUUUAGAUGAAGAAAGUGUAAAAUUGAGAUUAUUCCCAAUGACCUUAGAGGAUUGAGCCGCGGCAUGGCUAUAUUCUCUGGCCCCAAAUUCCAUCACAAUAUGGGAAUAACUAUCUAAGAAGUUCAUGGCAAAAUUUUAUCCCAUGAUUAAAACAGAAAAAAUUAAGGAUGCCAUAAGAACUUUCAGAGGAAAAUCUGAAGAGCAAUUUUUCCAAACUUGGGAACGAUUCUAUGACUUGUUAGUCAAAUGCCCANNNNNNNNNNNNNNNNNNNNNNNNNNNNNNNNNNNNNNNNNNNNNNNNNNNNNNNNNNNNNNNNNNNNNNNNNNNNNNNNNNNNNNNNNNNNNNNNNNNNNNNNNNNNNNNNNNNNNNNNNNNNNNNNNNNNNNNNNNNNNNNNNNNNNNNNNNNNNNNNNNNNNNNNNNNNNNNNNNNNNNNNNNNNNNNNNNNNNNNNNNNNNNNNNNNNNNNNNNNNNNNNNNNNNNNNNNNNNNNAGCAGACCUAGAUCUCAAAAAUAUCAUGUCCAAUCUGGUGACUGGAGUGAACAACUUAAGUAAAAAGUUUGAUGCUUUCACUAUUUCCACUAGUUCGAGUUCAUACAAAGAGUCAAAUCCCAUCAUGAAAGUGGAACACGAGCCACAUAGUUUGUGUAUCUUGUGUAACAGUCCUGAGCAUCUAGUGGAGUGCUGCCCUAAUCUGUCCACCGUAAAGGCCGAGCAAGCAAAUGCUCUAAAUUCAUAUAGUGCUUUUAAGAAGUCCACUCCUAACUCGUUUAGCCCAGUUUACCACCCUGAUAAUAGGUUCCACCCAAAUUUCUCAUACAAGCAAAAUGAACCUAUUCAGCAUCAAGGUGGUCUACCAGGUUUUCAGAACAACUUCCCCAGGAUAGGUCCAUCACAAAUGAACCAACCUUUGGUUCCAUCUGUACUUUCUUAUAAUGCCCCUAUCCCACAGCAACUUUCACCAUUAGAAACCAUGAUGGCUAAUAUGAUGAAAAAACAACAAGAUUUUAUCAAACAACAACAACAGACCAAUACAGGCUAAGCCCAGACUAACCAAUUCCAUACGCAAGUAAUUGCAAAACUUGAUGUUAGUCUGAGCCAAAUAGCAAACUCUCUAGGGGAAGGAAGAAAGGUGAACUACCUAGUCAACCAGUGCCUAACCUUAGUAGACAACAAAAUCAAGGUCAGAGAGGUCAGUAUCAAAUCGAUUCUAAUGAAAAUCUGACCUAUGAAGUCCAGACAAUUACCACUUUAAAGUCUGGCAAGCAAGUGGACAAUAAAGUCCAACUUUCUGAAUACUUAAAAGAAAAUAAGAAUGAAUCCAAUAAGAACCCUAUUCAAAAGAGGGGUCAAGAACAGGACAAAAAGGAAGAACCCAUAGAAACAUACAAACCUAAGGUUUCCUUUUCCAGUAGACUUCAGGACUCCAAGAAACAAUCUAACUUUGAUGAAAUAAUGGAAGUCUUUAAAACUGUUCAAAUAACUAUACAUUUUCUCGAUGCCAUACGACAAAUUCUCUCCUAUACAAAAUUCUUGAAAGGCCUCACCACGGUCAAAAGAAAAACCAGUAUUCCUAGGCAAGCUAUUAUGGCUACACAAGCCUCAUCUCUCAUUUAACAACAUAUUGCCCCGAAAUUCAAAGACCCUGGUUGCCCCAUCAUUGAAAUAAAAAUAGGAGAGACGAUCAUCCAGAGAGCCCUAUUAGAUUUAGGAGCCAGUGUGAACUUACUUCCCUAUUAUGUGUACUAAAAGUUAGGUUUGGAGGAAUUAAAGCCCACAAAUAUUAUCCUUUCCUUAGCAGAUAGGACGGUGAAGUAUCUCAAGGGGAUUGUAGAGGAUGUAAUAGUGAAGGUAAACGAGUUUUACUAUCCUGUGGACUUCGUUAUCCUUGAGACCGAACCUGUAAUACAUCCUGACAGUCACACACCUAUAAUACACACAGACAGCAAAUGCUGUGAUAAAUUGUCGAAAUGGCAUGCUCAAGUUAUCUUUUGGCAACAUGAAAGUCGAGCUUAAUGUCUUCAAAAUAAGUAAACAACCACCAAACGAUGAAGAAAUCAAUGAAGUUGACAUGAUUGAAAGUCUGGUUCAUGAGACUUUCUUACAAACUUAUAGUAAGGACUCUUUAGAGGCUUACCUUGCCCAUUCCGAGGAAGGGGUCGAGCAUGCGCUCCCUAAUUCUGUUUUUCUUAUGAGCAUAGAUCAUCAUCGGCUGACUGUUCUUCCUCGGACUUUUCCAAAACCAUUCUUAGAUAAUGGUUGAAAAAAAAUGAAUUUACAUUUUGUCUGGCUGAAGACAUAAAAAAAUUACUAAUAAUAAUAAUAUUAUAAAAAAUAAUAAUAAUAAUAAUAAUAAUAAUAAUAAUAAUAAUAAUUACUAACAUGCAGGUUUAGGGAUUUUUGUCCCAAUUAUUAAUUUACCUACCCAUAUCCGGUAACUUCUCCUCUGUUCUAUUACUGCUUUAAAUUUUCUUUAACAUUGAGGACAAUGUUAGAUUUAGGUAUGGGGGUGAGAAUAUUUUUGAUUUUUUUGCCUAGAAAGAUUUAAAAAAAAGGGGGAAUUUCAAAUUUUUAACUCAAAAUCUAAUCUUUUUGGCUAGGAAUUGCUUUGACAAUAGCUUUGAGUUAAGAAAUAUGAUAGCAGUUCUAGCUUGAGUUUUCAUCCCAUCUAUCUUCUGCUAACAUGAUAGAAAAUGAUUUAGCACCUACACAUAAACACAUGAAUAGUGGGGUAUGUAAACUUGUAACUAAUAUGAAUACUUUUAAUCUUCUAGAUAAUUUAAAGUUAGAUGUGUGAUGAAUACCCUAAAUAAAUAAAUAAAUAAAUAAAUAAAUAUAAAAUAAAAUAAAAUAAAAAAAGGGGUUUAUCUUAAGUCUUCUCACUGAGUAACUGGGCCUCUUGCCUGGCAAGCAGCGAGAGUUCAGGUAAAAAGGUGAAGAUGACUUAGAUUAAACUCUGAAUGACUAAUUCGGUCUUGGAGCCUAGUUGACUUGAGUUAUUAAGUCUGUUAGGAUGUCUUUACACCUAGUGCCCUGAGCCAUCUAGAUCGGGAGUCAUUGGCUUAACACUCGCUACACGGGUCAGCUAGAAAGCUGAUUAAAAGUUAUUUAUUGCACAAGUCAUUCUUCUUAGCAUUCAGUCGGAUUAAAAGUUAAAUUUUGGGUAUUCAUUACCAUUUAACUCUAGAAAGUCUUGAAAAUUAGAGUGAUCACGUUGGAAGUAAGUGAAAGCCACUCAUUUAUAUAAUACUAUCUUGCACCUCACUCCAUUCUUGACUUGUUAGCAGAUAGAUGGGGUGUAAUGGAACUUGAGUUAGAGUCUGCUUAAAUAUAAUAGCAAUAAGUCUUUAUUGUCCUUGCAAUUCUAGGUUCAUACAAUAAUACUUGUUCAAAUUUUGAGUUAAACAUUGGAAAUCUCUGACUGAUGAAGUUUGUGGGUAACUUCACUGCAAACCCUCACGAGACAACACUUGUCCACUAGGGUAACCUAGGGGUUUAAAGGCUUGUUGCGCGUGCUAAGUGCAGUCGUGAUGCUCUACGAAAGUGGGUAUGUAUCUCAGUUUUAUGUACUUAGCUUCAAUAAAAAGUUAUGGGUUAAACUACAUCUUUUGUGUCCUCAUUUUAUCGUUUGCUCGUUAAUUGCUGGAGACUAGCAAUAAGCUAGUUGGGGGGUGUGAUGAGAGCAUAAAAGUGCGAUCUACACGCUGCUUAAAUUAGUAUUACUGCUAACAUAUAACGAUAAAAUCACUAAGUUAAUAUUAUAUUUUUGUUUGGCACAGGUUAGUAUAAAUUAAAGUUUAAAUGCGCAUUUGGUAGGGAUUAGAGAGAUGCAUCAUGGCCUCAAACCGCGCGGGCCUAAUCCUGCCAUGAUCGGAUCGAGCACAUUCGCACUCAAACAUCCGAGCCCGCAUGCGAUCUCCCAGUGAUCCUCGCGUUCCCUCAUCUCCGGAUUUGCACCCGCACUCUCCCGGAAUAGAGAUUCCCACUCUCACUUCAUCACAAAGAAAAAGAACUUUUUAACCACCAAUUCCAUGAAGAAUAGCUGAAGAUACUAUUCAUUCCUGAAGUUACUAUUGAUGCUGAAAUCACGGUUCAUAUGAACAGUGUUACGAAAAAUAUACUCUAUUCACUGUUCUUCUUCUUCUUCCCGCAGUGCAUCACGGCCGUCCAUCUUCCAUGGAUCACCUCCCAGAUCAGCUCCUGCGCCCGUCCGCCUCUUUCGCGUCAAAGUAGGCUCCAGCCUCAUCCCGAGCGAUUCCAUUCCAACAUCAUCCCGUAGCACAAGAAGGAAGUCCAUGUUCCCUCUUUCUUGUGAUCCAGCCUCCUCCAGUGAUCCUGCGAUGCAUCGUCAAGGAACCGGAGCCAUCCUCUUCCGGAUUCGAGAUCCCCAGCAUCCAAGCUUCCAGAGCGAAUCCACGUCCUCCUCCCAGCCUCCCGCUUCCAUUCCGACGUCCAUAAAGCUUCUGGUGAUUCCGUCCGUCCGCGUCUCUUCCGGAUUCGAGAUUCCCAAAUCCCGGAUGAACCCACCUCCGCCUCUUCUCCCGUCCGCAUUCACCAGCGUCUGCAAUCAAGGACCCACUCUAGUGCAUGAUCCAAGCCAUCCUCCACGCCGGAUUCACGUCUUCUUCCAAGCAAUCCCGCGGCCAGUGUUCGUCCUUUCCUGUCUACCUAAAAAUACGCUAGACAGAUCGUUGUUAGAACCGACGAACAAAGUUUAAAUUUAAUUCUACUCUUACCUGUUCUACUCGAAGAAUAGUGGUUGUAAGAGGUCGAUCCACAGGGAGGCGAUUGGAGUUGCUUAAAAAUNNNNNNNNNNNNNNNNNNNNNNNNNNNNNNNNNNNNNNNNNNNNNNNNNNNNNNNNNNNNNNNNNNNNNNNNNNNNNNNNNNNNNNNNNNNNNNNNNNNNNNNNNNNNNNNNNNNNNNNNNNNNNNNNNNNNNNNNNNNNNNNNNNNNNNNNNNNNNNNNNNNNNNNNNNNNNNNNNNNNNNNNNNNNNNNNNNNNNNNNNNNNNNNNNNNNNNNNNNNNNNNNNNNNNNNNNNNNNNNNNNNNNNNNNNNNNNNNNNNNNNNNNNNNNNNNNNNNNNNNNNNNNNNNNNNNNNNNNNNNNNNNNNNNNNNNNNNNNNNNNNNNNNNNNNNNNNNNNNNNNNNNNNNNNNNNNNNNNNNNNNNNNNNNNNNNNNNNNNNNNNNNNNNNNNNNNNNNNNNNNNNNNNNNNNNNNNNNNNNNNNNNNNNNNNNNNNNNNNNNNNNNNNNNNNNNNNNNNNNNNNNNNNNNNNNNNNNNNNNNNNNNNNNNNNNNNNNNNNNNNNNNNNNNNNNNNNNNNNNNNNNNNNNNNNNNNNNNNNNNNNNNNNNNNNNNNNNNNNNNNNNNNNNNNNNNNNNNNNNNGACUAAAAACUGGACCGUGACCUAAUAAAAAGGGUUAAUCAAACCCUUGUCCCAUACAUAAUUAAUUAUAACUUUCGAUCGAAUCAGGACCAAAACCCAUUUAAUUAUUCCCUUAGCUUGAUUACAAUCCCAUCAGGUUACUAAACCGGGUCAAUACAAUCUCCUCCUUAUAUGUUUUCAUAAAAGAUUAUAACCAGGAGAGAGACAAGUUUAGAGUCUGUUUUGAGAAAAGAAUUAUUUACCUCUUACCAUAUUUUAAAUUCAUUUCAAUGUUUAUUUAAUUUUAUGGUAAAAUAUAUAUUUAUCAGUUUAAAAACAUUGAUAAGUGCUAUGGAAAGAUAACUAAAUUAUAGAUUAUUAAGCACUUAUCAGUGGGACCGCUUUCCAACAAGAGCAGUGCUGAGCAGGUGUGGUUGGGGGAUCCCAGCGGAGUGCGGGACAUGCAGUGCUAAGGAGUCGGUGGACCACGUGCUCCUCUAGUGUACGUAGGUAAGGUCAGCAUGGCAAUGGGCAGGGAUCCCGCAGGAGGCCUGGUGUGGGAGGCUUUCGUUUUUACAGAUGAUACGGCAGUAGUUGGCCCGCUCUCAGACAUGUCGGGAGGCUAUCAGAGUGACUUGCACAGCACAUCAGAUCUAGCUGGCAAGGAAUGCCCACACCUUCGGCGAGCGCAGGGUGUCACCGAGGUUUGUUGCGGAGUUCGCUUGAGUACAGGCAUUGGAAAUCAGGCCUUCUUCAGAUGGACCUUUGACAGCUCGGGACACCUGGGGUUCCCUUUCUCCUCAGGUAGCUCCUCAUAUGGUGUUUUUCACCUGAAAACCCCCAUCCCCGAGUUUCCUCAAGGUCAACUUUGUUAGAUCGGUACUGGAUGGAGGCGCACGGGGUGGUGCGGGACCCGCACUCCAGAGUAGUGGCAGCAAGUGGCUGCCAGUUGUUCGGCACAUCGGUCCCCGGGACAGAGCUGCGAACUGCUUGGGCGGGUUUUCGACAUGCAAGGCAGAUGUUGUAGGCCAGCUCGAUUAUCCUGGAGGGCGAUUCAGCCACAGUCAUCGGAUGGAUCCAGGAGGGGCUGAGGGGUUGAGAGCACAGACCACCCCUUGGUUCGGGAUAUAGGGAUGACGAAGAUGGAUGGGCUAGCCGUCCAGGCCAAACAUGUAUUUAGAGAAGCCAAUGGGGCGGCCGAUUGGGUGGCUGCCUUUGCGGCUCAUCAUUCCGGGUACACCUUUUGGGCGGAGGAGGGGGAGCUGCCGUUGACACUCCGCGAGUUAGUGUUUUUUGACUUUAUUAGAUGUAUUCGUACACGUAUUGUAUGAAAAUCCGUUUGCAGUAAAAAAAAAAGGCCACAUUUUUACCAUCCCCACUCUUCUUCACUUAUUAGUGGUCAAGGACCGCAGACUCAUGAAUCCAGUUAUUCUCUCCAAAGACUGUAUCCUAAUGAUAGUUGUGAGUGCAAAAAUGGAUGUAAAGAUAUGGAAUUUCAAAAAUAAAAGUCUGAUAAAUUCAUCAAAAGUUUGGAAAUCAUUUCAAUAGCUAAAGUUAAAAAAUAAAUACAGCAAAACUAAAAAUUUAACAUAUUGUAAUAUUUAUAUAUUUAUUUACCCAAAAACAGUUACGUGAGAGGGACGAAUAGCAAAUGAUGGCAUAAGGAACUUGGCAUCAUUAAGUAACAGCAUAUAAAGAUUACCUGAAUUACUUGUGCAUAAUUCACAAGUAUUUUUGGAUUUAUAUUUUGAUAAAAAUUGAAUAUUUUUGGAUUAGUUCAUUUAUAAAGAAUAAGUCAGAGAAACAUUAAUCUGAAAAAAAUAAAAAACCAGAAGAAUUCAUGUAUGCCUCCCUCUCCUGUUUGUGCAUGUUAUGCAAGGUCCGAGGAAAUAAAAUGAGGAAAAAAUUGUAAAAGUAGAGGUAAAAAGAAAAAACAAUACUAGUCUUAUGCAUGUGGCUAAGUCAAACAUCCCUAUACAACAAAAAAUUAUUGGUUGGAUCAGGUCUACCAGCUCAGCGGUAAACCAGUCUAACCAAGAAGGAAUACACAUAGGAAGGAAAAAGGAACACUGACAAAAAAUGAAACAGAAGGAAAGGGAGUAAUACAAGCAUGUUUCUUUAUGGUUGGAUUAGUGUACUGCUAAACUGGUAGAUCUGGUCUAACCAAUAAUUCCAUCGACACAUCAAAUAAAAUGGUCCUCGUCGCAAGAGGGUAGGUUAUGGGGCUUAAAGAACAAGAAGGCACAUUUUUUUUCUAUACUUUGUAGCCUUUUCCAUAUGACAGCGCACCAAGCAUUCGAUCAAAACUGGCGAAGUACACUGACCUGCCCGGUAUGAUGUAUCGUACAAUAAAUUCAUUGUUUGGGCCAUAGUAGAUGGAGACGUUGUCUUCCAAGCCAAGUAUAUCUACAGAAAGGCCAAUGAAGCUCCGAACUGAGUAGCCUCGUAUGUAGCUGAUCACUCUGGAGGAACUUUUUGAAUUAGUAAGAGAGAGUUAUGUAGAGCGAUUUGAGACUUUUUAUUUUUUGAUUUUUUUAGAUGUAUUCAUACUAAAAAUGUAUAAAUCAUCUGUUGUAUUAAAAAAAAAGAAAGAAGUAAUUCGUGUCUCUCCUAGGCGUACCACGCAGGAUGGAAUCUAUUGGAAACAUCGACCAGAAACAAAAUCACACAACUUUCGCGGAGAAAAUUGACCUGCCACUACAAGGAGGUCCCAUUCCUCAAACCUCCUACAAGAGUUAGAUGGGCGAAUUGGCCAAGGGAUCACCUUCGUCGUUACAUGUGCCUACCCUUGGGGUCCUGCCUCGGCUCCAAGCAAGCUCAACUCCGCCUCCAUCCCACGAGACAAUUUACAGCCCAUGGCUCACGCUUCACAGCUCUCUCCACUUCUUGUCUUGCGCUGCCGUGAUAGCCAGUUUUAGCUUGGAUUAAUCUAAUUAUCGUCUUCUCUUAUAGCUCGGCAGAGCCGUCUCUACUUCACCUUCUCAUCCAUCUUCUAAAAUUUAAGUACAUAAAAUUGUUAACGGAGUUUGGCAUUAGAGACAUAAGGAACUAGACAAAUGGAUUUUUUUUUUUUUACUCUGAGAAAAGGAAGGAUACAAGGACAGUGAUGUUUGUUAAAAAUCUCGAGGGGCUCACACGAUCAGGGUGCAGGUUGCAUCUUUGAUGCAAAAGAAUGGUUCACCUACUUCUGUUACGUCAACUGUUGGAUCAUGCAAUAACUGCUUCGAAAUCUAUGCAAGCCAAAUAUUAGAGUGCCUCGAGUUCUAUGACACGAUUCAGUAGUUGAUAUCGUGAAAAAAGAUCAAUCACCCUUUCGCACAAAAGAUCAAUCAUUCUUUUGCCUGAGACCACAUAAUCAACGAAUGCUUUCUCCAACCGCAACAAAGUAACCAAGAUCGUCCUAGGCAUGGUAGCAGUACACAGUGCACACCAUCCCCAAGCUUGAAAAAAGAAAAAAAAAGGCCAAUACCAUUUAUGCUGUAUUCACCAUUUUCCACUGAUACAUAGGGAUCAAAUAGGUAACAGCAUAAAUUCUCAGACUAAAGAGGAUAUAUUUAGGAGAAGUGAGGAAGAUAAUACAACAAUUUUAGUCUAGAAGUCACUCAACACUCCAAUGUCUAAAAUGAAGAGACAUAAAUCCAUAUCAAUGCCCUUGUUAUCAGUCUUUUCUUUUCUCAAUCCAAGAGGAAUCUACAAACCCAGCAGACCAAAUGGAAAAAACCACUCAAGGGCAAAUGGACAUGGAGAUGAAUGGCCAACCAAAGAUGAACAUAUCGAACCGGUUUCAUUCAGUUUUUGACCUUGCUCAAGAGGAUAAAAAGCACACCUUGUGGUGCUUGGGCUGGCAGGCAGAGUUAGGACAACUGGGUUUUGGCCUGGAAUGGUCCUGAAAUCAUCGUCCAUCUCUGUCUCAUUAAUCACACAACAGAACAAAACCACGAGCCACAGACUUGCAUAUAUAAACACGCAUGCAUUUGUGACUAUUCCUUGUGAAGUCUCCAAAGCUUAAGGCUUGCCCAUUCAUCUUGCACCACCUUGCAGAGGUAGGAAGGGAAGGCAUGGAUGUGAUGUUGGUGAAAAGUGAGGUUAACAGCAGCGGAAGGCAACUAACUGCCAUGGCAACCCAUCCACAGGACAGCAGUCCGACGGUCAAGCGCAUCAAGAGGAGGAGGCGAGAGCCUGCGUCGCCGGCCAUUGCAGCUGAUGCCAAUGGGGAGAUCAUUGAUCAGCCUGCUACCAGCAGCACUGUUAAAAGAAGUUCAAGGUUUCGCGGGGUUAGCAGGUAUGGUUGAUAGUCAAAUAAUAAGUCUGCAGUAAUUAUAACUCAUAUGUCUGUAAAUCAGUCCUUGCAUACAAAAUAGCCUAGAGGCAUGAGAGCAAUAACAUAUAUCAAGAGCCAACAUUGUCUUAAGGUUCAAGCACCAAUUUCAAAAUUCGAGAGCAAAAUAAAUUCAUGUGUGACAACUUAUUUGCAUUCUUUUAUUCCUUGCCAUUCUUUAACCAACAGCAAGCGAUCAUGCAGGCACAGAUGGACAGGCCGUUUUGAAGCCCAUUUGUGGGACAAAGGGUCAUGGAAUACCACACAGAGGAAGAAGGGAAAACAAGGCAAGAUUUUUUAUAUGUCCCUUUCUGUGUCUUUUACCUUGUUUCUUUAGCAAGCCUUACAUGUAUUUAAAUCAUUUGUUCCCGAAAAUUAUGUUGAUUCAAACAGUUUACCUUGGAGCUUAUGAUGAGGAAGAAGCAGCAGCAAGAGCUUAUGACCUUGCUGCACUCAAGUACUGGGGGCCUACCACCAUCACAAACUUCCCGGUAUGUCAUCCAUGAAAAACUUCCUCCCAUCUUAAUUGCUAAAGCUUUGACUACAUCAGGAUCUUGAGUAAGUUGGAUGAUUUUUCUUUAUGGAAUAAGUGGAUUGGAUUCCCAAUCUCAUCUUUUCCGUCAAAAAAAUAGAAGGAAAGGAAGUAAAUUUGGGAUCGUCAUAAACAACAUAGUUUCAUUUGAGGGAAUAUGAAGCACAUAAUUUUACUUAAUAGAAGACCAGGAGGAAAAAAUUGAUCAAACAAUCACUUGAAGCAGUUCUUAUAUUUGGCAGACAUAUCAGUUGAUGAUGUGCGCAAACUUUUUCAACUGAAUUAUAUAUUUGGCCGACAUAGGGCCUGAUGUAUCUAACACUAAUCCUAACAGAUAACAAAUUCCAAAUUUGGGGUUAUUAAUCAUACCCUAUAUGACACCAUGACCAUUUCAAUACUUUGGCAUUUGGAUUAUGCAUAGCAGCUGAUAACUACAGUUUUAAGUUAUUUGGCUUUUAGAAACUAUUACCUUAGGAGACUCACAUGAUAUUUUCAUCUCUAUUUGUAUUCUAUAUAUGAAACAUAUAAACAUUCACAUGCACAUGAACACAGAGACCAAUAGAAAAUCAACAUCGAGCUUACUACAAGAUACUAUGGAGGCAAGGGUAUCAUCUUAAAAUGAUUACUGACAAUUGGGAAACAUUUCAGAUUCAUUACUGGAAUUUAAUUUAGGACAUCUAACUGAAUCACAUGAAAUAUUUUGUGGAAUUAUGAUAUAGAACAUCAAUGUAGGCAUUUGAUAAGUAGUCUCCAGUUUAUUUUCUUUUUUUCCUUAGAAAAAUUGGAAAGUUUUGGAAUGAUGUUCAUGCUGUGAGUCGUGGCAAUUCUCAACAUAUAACACAACUUAUUAACUCUUGUUCCUGGUUAUAAAGAAUUAAUAUGACAAUUAUCUUUACAUCAAGUUCACAAAUCAAAGCUUUGCUAGUUCCGUUGACUUCAUGAAACAUAAUUGAUGGAUCACUUGAUCUAGAGGACUUUGCAACACUGUACUCAAUAUGCAAUAUUGUAAUGGUUCAUUGCUUCAUUGCUUUCAUUUUCAUAUGCUUGUCAAGUUAAUUCCAAAGAAAACCCAAUCCACCUGUUAUUUUCCUGUCUGUCUUCUGCUUACAAAGUCUUUUGAUAGUUAUUUUAGACAGAUUGUACCAAUCAAAAAGUUUAACAUAUUACCUAUGUGGAAAAAUUCAUGUUUCCUGAUGAACAGCUAAAAGUUCAUGCUUCUUCAUCUCCUGUAUGCUUGUGGAUACAUAAAAUAAAUAUAAAAAUAUGUGUUUCUAUUCCAAGAUUUUAACGGAAGGGAAAAUGAUUUCAGGUUUCUGACUAUGAAAAUGAGAUACAAAUAAUGCAGAAUGUGACUAAAGAAGAGUAUCUGGCCUCAAUAAGAAGGUAUUAAGAUCCUGCUCUUUUUGUGAGCUCUAGAAACUUACAAAGCCCUUAAAUUGUCAGAAUUUUGCUCCUUUACCUUGCAUUAUUUGGUUCGAUAACAGGCAUAGUAGUGGUUUUUCACGAGGUUUGUCCAAAUACCGGGGAGUUGCAAGGUACAAAUUCAUGAACAGAGUAUAUCUAUUCUUUUCAAGCUGAAGCUCAUUAAUAAGAAAUUUUAACAACCAAACAAAAUGGAAAAAUUGCAGGCACCAUCACAAUGGAAGGUGGGAAGCAAGGAUUGGAAGGGUUUUCGGAAACAAGUACCUCUAUCUUGGCACUUACAGUAAGCACCGCAACUUCAACAACUCUCAUGUACUACUACCUCUUGACCUCCAAAUAAAAACAUAUGAAAGUACUAUAAUUGUUGCAGGUACGCAAGAGGAAGCAGCUCGUGCAUAUGACAUUGCAGCAAUUGAGUAUAGAGGGAUCAAUGCUGUGACCAAUUUUGACCUGAGUACAUACAUCAGAUGGCUAAGGCCAGGGGCCACCAAUGCCUUGAAAAUUACCCAAGAGCAACAUGUCAAUGGUGAAGCUCAUGCAGUGCAACCACCCACCAACCUCUUUUCAUCAGCCGAAUCUGAAACACUCUCGCACUGCAGCCCCUUGGUCGCAGAGAAUGUGAUCUCAUCAUGUAAGGAAGAGUUUGUACAUCAUGAGUUUCCUGGCAGUAGCUCAAGCAGCAAGUCUUCCCCUACUGCUCUAAGCCUCCUACUGAAGUCCUCAAUGUUUAGGCAACUUAUGGAGAAGAAUUCUAGGGCACUCACUGAAGAGCUUGAGGAGGAAAUGAAGGAUUGGAAACAACAGAUGGGAGCUGACAUUGAAUACCAGGGGAUCCUUUAUGAAGGAAUUGCUGAUAUGCCAUAUGGUUACUCCCCAGAUGGUGACAACGGACGAAGAAUUGAGCUACAGGAGAGUGUUUCUUACUAUGAUCAGAGUGAGCAGUCAAUAUGGAAUGGUGUAGUGAGUAUGGCCUUACUGCAAUAGCCUAAAAGGAAGACCUUGAGGGAUAGAGUGAGAGAGAGACUAAUGGAGGAAGAGACAGGGAGAGAGAGAGAGAUCUGAAAAUUAUGCGAGGUGAUUUUGUCUUGUAUCAUACAUACAAUCAUCUCGCACUUUCCAAUUGCUUGGCACAAUGUUUCUUUCCUUUGUGCUAGCAAGCGAUAUGAAUAAGACCCAGGAGUACUUUAAGAAUGUAUCCUCCUGGAUAUGUAUUAUAUGCUUACAUGGUACCUAAUGUUUGGAUACUAGGAUAAUAUUGGUAUCACUGUGCGGAUGGAUCUGAGCUCAAAAUCAAUAAUAGUUUAUUAUUUGGAUCACUGAAGUAGACUUGUUCUGACAGAGUAGUAAGGAAAACACCUAGCUAAAUUUGGGCUCUGGUGCUGCCAAAAAUAAAUCAUAAAUAAAUAAAUGUUCGCAUAUAGACACUCCAGGAUGACUUAAGUUAGUUGAAAUCCCUUCGCCAAACAGGUUCCAUAGGUUUAGUCAAAGCACAGACAUAAGCUAGUUUGUUCAAAAGGAGCACUAAGCCAUCUUUUUCUAACUCCCCAGUUAGCCAACCAAGUUAAAGCCUGAACCCCCAAUAUGGGCUUGUUUCCCAGCUGGAUCCCGGCCUUGCAGUGUCAGGAUAUAUAGAAAUGCCAGAUAUUGCUCCAGUAAAGAAAGUUAUGAAAAAGGUUUUCGUACCUUUACUUCCUUAAAGAUUAUCGUCACCAUCAAUCUGUAAGUUAAAAGGCUUGUUUGAAACUCAGGGAAGAACUUAUUUUCUGUGUGGCUCUCUUCUGUGACUUUCAGAUGCAUCAGAACAGAUGGUUUGAAGAAAUGGAAUGAACGCAACCACAUCGUCAGAUUCACGACAAGGGUGAUUCUGAAGUAUAACUAGUUCUUGCAUGCUAAAUUCAGCAUAUAUUGCCAUCAAGCUCCAAAAAGAAAGGACAAUUUUUGAGAAAGGUGUAGAAUCUGUAGAUGCACUGCUUACAAACAUGUAAAGACAAGUUCUUGCCCAUACUCAUGGAACAGAUUCAAUUAAUAGGAUAGAUUGUAAAACAAAAAAAGGAUGGAAAAUUGCAGAAAUGUCGGUGACCAUCCUGAACAAGAUAAUAAUGUUUUGUUGGAUGCUCAUAAAUGGCUCAGCUUUGUUCCCCAAGAAGUGGGAAGGUGUAAGGAGAUACCAUGGAUAACCAAUGAUUACACAAGGUUCUAAAUGCAGCUGGUAUGAAGGCUAAACAAUAAGCAUAAUAAAAUUAAUUUCAACUACUAGUGCAUACUCUACCCAAAAAAUUUACUACUGGUGCAUACAAAAGUAAGAAGGUAGACUCAUUCAAUUUUAUUACAAGAUAAGGAUACAAAUUUAAAAGAAAUCCAGCUUGGAAGAGUUAAUUAGUCCCAAUAUACAAAGGAAACAUUAGUAUGUCUAUAUAUAUGUAUGCGUGUAUAUAUGUGCUAGCAAACCCCCACAUAUGAAAUCCCUAAAGAUGUAUCCACAGUUCAAUUAUUUGAUAAAAAGGAAAAUAUUUAAUGGAGUGACCCACAUUGGAUUUGCCAUGAAAAAAAAUGCACAAAAUAUUACUCCAAUACAUAAAAACUUGCUGAAGAUAUAAAUAAAUCAAAACUGCUUCUUUUAUUCAAAAUUUACAAAGCCAAAAAAAAAAAGUAUCUAUCAGCAAACAUGUCAUACCUGAACAUCAUGAGUUCCUUCUCAUCUUGCCCUGAUAACCACUUGUUAAAAAAAGACAUUUAUUACCGUUGUCGUGAUACUUGCAAAGUCUAACAACUGUAUUUGCAUAAAAAAAAACACACCAAGCAUAAAAUCCCCUGAUUAAGUGACAGAAACAUAUCAUAAAAGGAGAUUUUUUUUUUUGUGGAAAAAAAAAGAUCAGGGACAUUGGAAAUCCCAGCAAAAUAAGGUGAAUGAGGAAAGGAAAAAGGUCAAAUCUUUGGAGGAGAAAAGAGAAAACAGGAAGAAGAGGAAGACAAAAAAGCUUUAUCCUUCAACGGCUAAACGGCAUCCAAGAAGACCUGGAGGAAGGCUCACCGUGGCAAGAACCAUAGAUGAAAACCGGAAAGAUAAGAUUUUGAUGCCAAAAAUUGAAGCUCGGAUGAAAGAAAGAUGGAGGGAGGGAUCCAAUAUAGAGAGCAGUUAGGGUUAGGGUUGCAGUGGACAACCGACAGUUCAAGAACUAGGUUCGUAUAGGGACCUCGGUGUAUAUAAAAUCGCAGGAAGUCGCGUCAACCUCACGGACCAAAUCUUGACCUACCGAGUACCGACAAAAGGAUCUACGAACGAAAGAAAGAGAGAGAAACAAUGCUGUCGGUCCCUACGAUAUACAAACCCUCGCUUCUCUCCUCCGUUCUGCUCCCUGGCUCCUCCUCCUCCUCCUCGUCCCCCGCUUUCCCCUCCCUUCUUAAUCUUUCCCGCCGCCUCCGCCGCCCGAGGUAAGAUACUCCCUUCGCACUUCGCGCUUUUUGCUUCAGUCGAUCGGAUGCGCUGUUCUUCCGCUUUCUAUCAUCGUCCCGAGAGUUCAAAGCCACAAAUUUGAUUCUUGUGGAGAAACUUGUCUUCGAUCAUUUCUAUUGCACCUCUCAUCACUUUUUGGUAAUCUAUAAGGUUUCAUGCGAGUAAACUAGGUUUUAGAUUCGUCAACACAUUUUGUUCACCUAGAAGGCUUGUGGUUUGACAAUCUAUAAUUGUUAGCUCUAGUUUGUAGUUCAGAACUGUGUUUUGCCGGUUUGGCGAUAUGCUUUCUUAUAUGGCUAACUGUAGGUUUUUUUUGUGCAGUUAUGAUGCCCUAUUUUUUGUUAAUAUCAAGGUUGCUGAUGCCUUGUGUUUCAUGAUUUCUGAUUUGCUAUCAUGUUGGAUUUUAUUUUAUUUUUGAUGAAUUUUGAUGCUCUGUCACCAGAUGCUUGAAUCCAUGCUUACAGUUUUCCUCCUGCCCUGCUGGUGUUAUUAUCUUCAAUGUAAUAAUGUAUAAUAAGCAACUUCUGAUCAAAAUAUUAAUUGAUGUUUUCCUUGGUGAUGUAUCUAUAUGUUUCAGAGAGCGUUUACUUGUUAAUCCAUAUAGAUAUGUCUUUUUUUCCAAAAAAAAAAUCUUAACCAAUUCACUGUUCUUUCCGGAGGGAAAAGCUGGCUUAGCAGUAUUACUGGAUGUUACACAGUUAUCUAAAGUACUUCUGAGUAUAUCAUUUAUAAUUUUUUCUAACUAUAUAAGCUUGCUUCUAGUUUCAUUCAAAUAGGCCGUGUUAGAGCUGUGGCUUCACAUAUUGUCGGCUAUCCCCGCAUUGGUCCAAAGAGAGAGCUUAAAUUUGCUUUAGAGUCUUUUUGGGAUGGAAGGAGCAGUGCUGAGGAUCUGGAAAAGGUUGCCAAGGAUUUGCGCAUGUCCAUCUGGAAACAAAUGGCUGAUGCAGGAACCAAGUUCAUUCCCUCCAAUACCUUUUCAUACUAUGAUCACAUCUUAGAUACGACUGUCAUGCUUGGUGCAGUACCUCACAGAUAUGGAUGGACUGGAGGUGAGAUAGGAUUUGAUGUUUAUUUCUCUAUGGCCAGGGGUGAUGCCACUCUACCUGCUAUGGAAAUGACCAAAUGGUUUGAUACAAAUUAGUAAGUAAUCUGGUCUUAUCAUCCCAUAAUUCUAAAGCUGUCUGAGGAGAUACAAUUGUUCUUCUUCAAUAAUGCACGAUUUCUCUCAGUUUAGCUAAAAAAAUAAACUUAAACCUGCUAAGACUGAUUACCUGUCGGAUGCAUGGUUUGCAAAUAAGCAAAUGAUGUUUAGUAAAAUACUGGUUCAAAUGCAGUCAUUACAUAGUACCUGAACUGGGACCAGACCUUAAGUUCUCAUGUGCUUCCCAUAAGGCAGUUAAUGAAUACAAAGAGGCCAAAGAGGUACUGAAUAUGAGACCAGAACUUUCUCUAUUUAUUAGGCCUUUAAAUCUACUGCUUAUCUGUCUAUCCAACCCUUGUGCAGUAGAUGUUGCUGAUGUUCUGUUCUCACUAUACAGCUUGGUAUUGAGACUAUCCCGGUACUCGUUGGUCCAGUUUCCUACUUGCUACUGUCAAAGCUAGCAGAGGGCAUUGAGAAACCAUUUUCCCUUCUUUCAUUGCUCCAGAAAAUUAUUCCAGUUUACAAGUAGGUUCUUGUGCAGGUAUUUGUUGCUAAUUUUUAUUAGCUCCAGUGCUUGUCUAAAUUUUUUAUCUUCUUUUUUCUAUGUCUUGGAAAGGGAAGUUGUAUCAGAGUUGAAAGCUGCUGGGGCUACCUGGGUGCAGCUUGAUGAGCCGACGCUUGUGCUGGAUUUAGACUCUGAUCAGCUUAAAGCAUUUACAGAUGCUUACACGCAGCUUGAAGAGUCACUACAUGGUUUGAAUGUUCUUGUUGAAACCUACUUUGCUGAUGUCCCUGCUGAUGCAUACAGGUAGGACUGAAAAUGGGUCAGAUAUUAUCCUACCAUAUCCAUUUCCAUAUCCAUUUCGGAUUGUAUUCGGAUAGAAAUCUUUAUAUCUGAUUGGAUCCUGAUACAGAUUCCGAUACAUGCUUAUGGAUUUUGUUGGAUAUCAAAUCUGGAUAUGGAUCCCAAUACAUGCUUAUAUAUUUUGCUGGAUAGGAUCCAGGUCUGGAUAUCCGGUAGAAAAGUCUAAAAUCCACAUGGUAGACUGUUUUAUGGGACAAAUCCCAUAGAGAAGUUAAUGUGUCAUACAUCUUUCAUUAGGGCUGAAAAUAGGUCAGUAUUAUCCAACUGUAUCUUUUUCUGUAUUCGAUUGGGAUUGGAUUCAAAUAGAAAUACUUGUAUCCAAUUGGGUCAUGAUGCAUGAUUAUGAAUUUGCUUGAUAUUGGAUCUGGAUAUCCAGUAAAAAAAAUCUAAAAACCACCUAUAUCAGGGAAAAAACAUUUACAUACCACCCGCUCGUGACAUCUCAACUAAAUAGUUGCCACUCAGCUACCAGGACAACAUUCGGUUUUGUUAUAUAAUCAUGGUUUAUUAUACUUAUCCAAAACUUAUUCACUUGAUAUUUCAUAUUUCAAUAACUAAUUCUUUUCAUGAAAAUUUCAAUCCUUUUCCUUUUGAUAAAAAUGAAAAAUGAAUAACUUCAUUUUAUUCUUUAUGAUAUUUUCAAAACCUUUUAUUUCAGAUAUCUAAAAAUAUCAACAACUUCAACAUAUUCCUAUAUUUGUAUAUAUUUUUUCUUAUAAGUUCUUUAAAAUAUAGAUAAUUCAUGAUUUUUUUAUUUAUGUUGCAAUUAAAGAGGAAAACUGGUAUUUAAUGUAGAAAAUCUUUAAUAUUUUUUAUAUUAUCUACUAUUUAAAUAAUUUUUAUUUUUUAAUAUAUUUUAAUAUACAUAUGGUUGGAUUAGUGAUCCAGAGACUUGGUCAAAUUUGUAUCCGUGCAAAUUAACUCUUCUGAGACCAUUGCCUAGUUAUUGUGCAUCAUAUGUAAUCUUGAUAAUGGAUUUUGUUCCCGUCUUUUAUAAUUGUGCCACUUAUGUUAGUUUCUAUUAUUUAGUUCUACUUAAAAUCUGAUUUAUAUCUGAAUAAUAUCUGACUUAUAUCCAUAUUCAGAUAUUAAAAAUAUGAGUAUAACUAAUAUCUUGACUUGUAUCUAUAUCUAUUUAAAACAAAUAUGAAUACUAAUUUUGGUAUCAGUUUAAUAUCCAUAUUCUCUAAAAAAAUAUGGAUAUACCAAUAUUUGAUUCGUAUUCAAUCUGUUUUCAGCCCCACAUCCAGGGUCCUUUUUUAAAAAAAAAAUCUUCAGCCCCACAAAUGUGUUUCACUUAGUGCUUUGGCCUACCAUUAUUUGACCUGCUAUAUUGAACUGCUUGUAGGGUUGUCACAGGAUUGAGGGGAGUCUCAGCUAUUGGGUUCGAUCUGGUGCAUGGAGAGAAGACUCUUGAACUGAUCCAGGAUCUGAGCUUUCCUUCUGAUAAGUAUCUCUUUGCCGGAGUUGUUGAUGGCCGCAAUAUUUGGGCUAAUGAUCUGUCAGCAUCUCUGAGAACCCUGAAGACCCUUGAGGGCAUUGUUGGCAAAGGUUAUUUCUUCCUUGUUUAUAUGGAAAAUAAUCUUCUAUAUAGUUUUAUAUCUUUUUAAUUGUAUUUCAAGGUCUAGUAAGAUUGCCUCUAUAUCUGAAUGGGAAUAUAAUUUUGUUUUCAUGCCAAAAGACUUGUUUCUGCAAGAAUUAGCUGAAGAGCUAAUGUAACUCUGAUGCUAUCAAUCAUUUUGAGUAUAAUUUCCUCAUUAGUUUUUUUCAAGAUGGGAUCAUUCUUGUUAUCGAGAUGAUCAUCUUUCUUCUUGCUUGCAGACAAACUUGUUGUUUCUACUUCCUGUUCGCUUCUGCACACUCCUGUUGACUUGGUUAAUGAAACAAAGCUGGACGGUGAAAUCAAGUCUUGGCUAGCCUUUGCUGCACAGAAAAUAGUUGAAGUAAAUGAGUUAGCAAAAGCAUUGAGGGGUGAAAAGAAUGAGGUGGAUUUAUCUUCUCUGCCUUCUUCUGUUACUAAUAGUCCUUGUUCAUGAUUCAUUUGACGUAUUUGUUUACAGGCAUUCUUUUCUGCAAAUGCUGCUGCACAAGCAUCUAGGAAGUCAUCUCCUAGAGUCAAUGAUAAGGCUGUUCAGGAAGCAGUAAGUACUGGAAAAAUCUUUUUCCUUUUCUUCUUUCUUUUAUAUUAUUGUGCUCUAGUUUUGUUGUUGUAAUCUUGUACAUCUUAGGCAUCUGCUUUGAGGGGUUCUGACCACCGACGUGCCACCCCAGUGACCUCCAGGCUUGAUGCACAGCAGAAGAAACUGAACCUUCCUAUUCUUCCAACAACUACUAUUGGAUCCUUUCCACAAACUAGGUACCUCAGGAGAAUUCGCCGGGAAUACAAAGAGAGCAAGUAAGGAUAUCAGUCAUAUGCAAUGUAGUUCUAGUUUUAUUGUGCUUUACUAAAUGAAUAUCUAUAAUCUUGGCAUGUUGAAAAAGUAGGUGUUAUAGGGUAUGUAAUUGGUUAACAAGAACCCUCAUCCUGACACUAUUUUACACUCUUCGCUUUCUCUAGUCUUGAUGUCUGAAGGCCUAUGUUCACUGGACUCCAUUUUUGUGGUCAGAAAAUCCUAAUUGCAAAAUGUUCCCUCUAGCAAAAUUUGCUAUCUGCACCCUCAAGAGGAUCAUCUAUCACUUCUUACAAGUUUGUGAACCAUAUUAAUGAUGGUCUAUUACUUAUUGAUUUUUAUGACCCUGCAAUCUGCGUAUAUUGGCAGGAUAUCUGAGGCAGAGUAUGUCAAGGCCAUCAAAGAAGAAAUCAGUAAGGUUGUUCGGUUGCAAGAAGAACUUGAUAUAGAUGUUCUUGUUCAUGGAGAACCUGAGGUAUGCGUGUUUCAUAAAUUACAAAAGAUUGCAUUCUCAUCUUUUUUUUUGAUUUAUUUUUCUUUUGUUUCUAAAAUUCAAUCACAGAUUGACCACCCAUAUUAUUUCCAUUCAUAACUUCCAGCGAAAUGACAUGGUGGAGUACUUCGGGGAACAGCUGAAGGGAUUUGCCUUCACUGUCAAUGGCUGGGUUCAAUCAUAUGGUUCACGCUGUGUCAAACCACCAAUCAUCUACGGAGAUGUAAGCCGGCCCAAACCUAUGACUGUUUUUUGGUCUACAGCUGCACAGAGCAUGACCACUCGUCCAAUCAAAGGAAUGUUAACUGGGCCGGUCACAAUACUCAGCUGGUCCUUUGUUAGGAAUGAUCAACCGAGGUUAGUUCCUUUUGGAAAUUCCUCUUGUUCUGAGUUUCUCCAUCAUUUUUUUCCUUUUGACCAAUGAAUCUCAUAGUUUCCAUCAGGUUUGAGACAUGCUAUCAGAUUGCCUUGGCAAUAAAAAAUGAAGUUGAAGAUUUGGAAGCAGCCGGUAUUCCAGUGAGUAUAAUGUUAUUACUCAGGUUUGAUGUCAAGUUGGGAGAGGGAUUUUCAUAUAACACAUUGUUGGUUACGUAGGAAAUAUAUUUCCUCUAAAGUAUAAUCAGGGAUUUAAAAGUUCCAUGGUUAUCUUUCUAGUUUCUAAAUUUACAUAUGAAAUUUUGGUUGCAAAUAAUUCCCAGGUAAUCUAAAGCUGCAAUUUUGAGAAAAUCUAGGAUAUAAUUAAUUAAAAUUUCACCAAAAACAUAGUGCUCGUCUUUGUAAUUCUUUUUUUUCCUGGAAGGGCAUUUGCAGAUUGAAUCAUGAAAACAUCGAACAUUAUGUCAUGAUUAAAUGCAUGAAUUAUGUAAUUCAUAUAAACUUAAUAAGGAAAUCACUAGAAGAGAGAUUUCAGCUGUAUGAACUUUAUUAUGUCAAAAACAAAAGUAUGUAUUAACUCAAAGCAUUUUAGCCAUAAGUUCCCAGAAGAAAUCACCUAUCGUGCAUUACAUGAUUUGUAUUGCCUGAAUAUCUUUUAAUGAGCCUGUAGAAGCAUAGUUAUUGGCAUGAUGAGGUUGCUCUUUUAUAGGCAUCUGCUCAACCUGGCCCUCUGCUUUUUCCUUUGAAAGUUGUAGUUUUUAGGUCAGUUUUUGUUUUGUUCUGUAUCUUCUCGUUUUAUCUGCAGGCUUAUCUUUAAUUUAUAUGUUACGACUGGUUUUUUGAAUUAGUAAUGCUUUAUUUAUUAUCCUCACUGCAUAGUGUUUGUCUAUUAGUUCUAUUAUGUUCUCACUUAGAAAGUUCUUUAACAUUUCAGCUCAGGAAAUCAGGUAAACAUUUGAAUCUGGAAAGGUUAAAAGAAUUUAUAUGAACUUAUUAAAAUCUGUGAUGUAUGAACAGGUGAUCCAGAUUGAUGAAGCUGCUCUUCGAGAGGGUCUACCUCUAUGCAAAUCAGAGCAAGCCUUCUAUCUUGAGUGGGCUGUGCAUGCCUUCAGAAUAACAAGCUGUGGUGUGCAGGAUACAACUCAGGUAUGGUCGUGAACCCACAAGCAGUUUAUCUACAUCUUAUUGACACAUAAUCUUGCCCCAAAAGGGAAAAAUUUAAGUUGUCUACAGGCUUCACAAACUAUUUCUUUUAUAUGCUGCCUACAACAGCCAUUGCUGCAAUGCUUGAUGAUUUAUUCUAUUCUUUCAUUUAUUCUCACGAUAUCUACUUGAUUUAUAUCCAUUUCCAAAUUUACAGAUACGCUCCCCUCGUGUAUUCCCAAGUUUACGUCUUAAUUUGCCAGGGUGCAUCAGGAUACUCUACGUCAUUUUAAUUAUGUUGUUAGGGUUGAAAUCUGAUUCCAAUGCUCUCAACACCUUUAUGGUAUCCUUUCCACAAAUUCAAGUUAAAUAAAAUAAUGUGUGAUAUUUAAAUUUUUUUUUUAGAAUGUCUCCAUAUAUAUUACCAUAAAGAAGUCAUCAUACUUUUAAUCUUGUUUAUUUAAAGGAUGGUUUAUGAUAUUAUUUAUUGAAAUACUUGUCUUUAUGGCGUGCAGAUCCAUACACAUAUGUGCUAUUUUAUUAUUUAUAAGGGUGGUUUAUGAUAUUAUUUAUCGAACUACUUGUCUUUAUGGUCUGCAGAUCCAUACACAUAUGUGCUAUUCCAACUUCAACAACAUAAUUCACUCAAUCAUUGACAUGGACGCCGAUGUGGUCACAAUUGAGAACUCAAGAUCUGCUGAUAAACUCCUUUCAGUCUUUAGGGAAGGGGUGAGAUACCAUGCAGGGAUUGGUCCUGGGGUUUAUGACAUCCAUUCCCCGCGGAUCCCAUCUGCCGAAGACAUAGGCAACCGCAUCAACAAGAUGUUGGCCGUCCUGGAGAAGAAUGCACUCUGGGUUAAUCCAGAUUGUGGUCUUAAGACCAGGAAGUACUCGGAGGUUAUACCAGCUCUGACCAACAUGGUGGCUGCUGCAAAAUUGCUCAGAACUCAGCUGGCCAGUGCCGAGUGAUUGUAUGCGGCUUGCUGAUAAUUGUAGGUGUUGGAAACCUGAGAAGAUAGAGAGUAUUUGAAGAAGCAAUAAUUUUUUUCCCAAUUAGUUUAAUGAUAUUUGAUCAUCUUGUUGAACUGGUUCAAGAGAUAAUAUCUAGCAAGGAGAAUUUGUUUUUAAGUGUUGUGGCAAUAUCUCAGUGAAAUCACUUUGCUUACUCUAUGUACUCAUUUGCCCAGCUCAUGGGUUAACAUAGAUGAUACCAUAACAAUUUAAGCAAAAAAAUUGAUUUCACAGCAAAUGCUGAAUUGCUUGCUCCUACAAGUCAAUUUUUGUACACAACUGAUGUUGAAAUAACUUUUUCAGUGAGGGGAAAAUAUUUUGCAUCCAUCAUUUGUAUAACUACCAAGUCUUUCCUCAAGCACUGUACAAUGGCUCACUAGAAUGGAGCUUACAGAAAUAAAAGUUAGAAAAAAAUUGUAAGGACUAUUAAAUAGGAUGAAUACUGAAAAUCAAUGGGAAAAUUCCUCUCUCUCUCUCUAUAUAUAUAUAUACACACACACACACACACACAUAUCUACAAAGCUUUUUCAUGGUGAGCAGACCAUGGCAUGCCAAAAGUCAUUUCAAACUGCAAAAUUACAAAUAAUCAUGUCUCAAAUAGAAUCUCUCGUAGGACAUGUUCUUUUAUUAUGCCCCCUUUCUAAACAGAAACUACAAAUAUAUGUUCUUUUACUAGAAGAAACCUGUGUGCCUUCUUGGGUGUUUGAAACGGCUGCUUCUGUUUCGGUCGAUUUAGGACAUGUUCCACGAUUAUGGCCGUGUUGGCCACAUAAUGUGCACCGACGGGAGAUUCUCUGGUUUCUACUCUUUGGUUCUCUUGCUAGUUUGGAUUUUCCACACGUCCGACGGUUGUGUCCCUUUUCCCCACAUAAGCGACAUCGGAACUGCAACUUACCUGAGUUUUGCCUGAGUGUUGGACAGUAAUGUCCUCUGUGUCCUUCCUCCCCACAGUUGCGGCAAUAAAAUUUCACUCCUGUAAAGCGGAGGAAAGCAUCUUUACUACAAAAUGUUAAAUUCAUACAGCAGAAUAACUAUCUAAUCAUAGUAGACAGGCAUGAAGUGAGAACUAUCUAAUCAUAGUUGAAGAUAUCUUCCACAGACUCCCACAGCACACAGGAUUUGAUCCAACUAUAUUCUUCAUAAAGUUACUCUUACUUGGCAAUAUGGAUGUCGUCUAAAAACUUUGCAAUGGCACUUUUGGAGCCAACAUGCAAAACCAUAAAUCAUGCCCUCUGGACCACAUUCCACCUCUACUCCCUGUUUCCCUUCCACUUCCACCCUAUCACUUCGUAAUAUACUCAAGCACAUCUCCCUUUCUAUUCUUAAACCUAAAAACAACCCUUAUGGAUGGAACACACUUGCCAUUGCUCCUCCAUAGCUCUCAUGCAAUUCUUGGUGAUGGUUGCAAAAGAGUGACUCUUGUGGCGUGAGCUGCUGUUGCUGUUUAGUAUGUUUAUAUCGAGUGUAUGUCAACCAAGGUGCCAACCAAAACCAACCCACCGAUGGAUCAGUUUGAGGCUACUCGAUAUAGAAAUCUGAUGCAACUCAAACCAAAAAUGGCCCAUUGCCACCAACACUGUGCAUCAAAUAUCAUGUAAAUCGAGAAGAUAAUCUAGUUAGUACUGGGUAAAUGAACUCAACUCUAAAGAAUCAGAUAAUAUUGCAACACAUUUUGUUGCUUAAUCCUAUGUUUGGUCACCACAACUGUGGACCAAAAGCUUGUCCCUAGUAUGCAAUCCCUUUUUUUAGCAAAAGUGAGUCAACUGACCUUUCAUGGCUAUGCUUCUCUUAAUGCGAUUCUCUGGAUCACGAAAAAAAGCUUUCAUAGCUUCAGAAGCCUGAAACCUUGCUUCAGCAGUCCCUUUUGCUUUCUUUAUAAAAGAAUUAAAAUGUACGUACGAAUUAAUAUCUAUGAAUUGUUCAAAAUAUAUGGGUAAUCAGUGCCAGCCUCUGCCAUGUCAAUAUAACAGACUCGAGUUUUAAAAAUAGCAACGGUUGUUACCUUGAUUGCAGCUACUCUCUGAGCAUGUAGCAUAGGAUCUCUGUGUAUAAUCUUCAUACGCUUACUAAACAAUCCCGUUCUGGCAUUGAGACUCUGCAUUUAAAUAACAGUAAGCAAUAGGUCUAAUUAGCCUGCCAAAAUAAGCUGUUGUUAAGUAACACUUAGAACUUGCAACUACAUUUUUUUUUAAAAAAAAUUCAAAAUACCAUGAAACACCUAAAAUAAUCUUUUUACAGUAAUCUACACCUAUAUAGCUCAUGUAUAUGUGUAUUUCGGAGUGGUGAGAGAGAUGGUGCAUGACGGGAGUCAGGUGCAAACUGAUAUAAUUGAUUUGACUGCCACAUGCAAACUACUGUAAAACAUGCAUUCAUAUGUUUAAAUAUGAGCAGACUAAUGUGAACACAGAAUGCACUGGGAAUCUCGGAUAGCUAGGACAGAGAACAGAACCACAGCGGAUAGUACAACAUAGAGUAUUAUGGCCAAACAACGGUUCAGCUAACUUUGAGUUCUCCUUUCUUGGUGAGAACAUGAAAGUUCCUGUUGUUUGCUUCCUAUUUUGAUGUUCAUGAAAUUUUUACUGCUUCUCAAACAUCAUCAAGCAUAUAAUACCUCAUGACAUGAAAAUAUAUAUAACACUCUUGCAUGAUUAAAUAAAACAUAAACUUGAUGAUCAGACCAAUUACCACUUUAAAGUGUCCAGGUGUACAGGUUUCAUCAUUUUUUCACAUAAAGUUGCAAGCUUCUGGCCAAAAAAGAAUAUAAUCAUGCGUUCAAGAGGCUUUGUCUUUUUCUCCUCUUCAUAAGAAGAUACAGGAAUGCACGGAAAGCAAGUAGUAUAACUAAUGAAAGAUGGGAACUAAUUUCUAAAGUUUCAAGGGGGCUGGAAUAUGAUUAUUUAGUAAACAGAAGAAAGAGAAACUGACUCUCAGUGAUCUGCUGAUCUUUAAGCUAACUUCAGGAGAUGGUGACUGGUAUACACGUUUUGAUUUUCUUGAAACAUCAACCUUUAUAUCCAGAUUGUCAACUUCAUCAUCUUCCUUCACCUUUAGAGGAGAGCUGCAAACAUAAUCUAAAUGGGAGAUAAGCAUGCUAACAGCCCUCAGAAGUUAGAAUCAAACACAGUUGGUUGCAUUGUUCAUUAAUAUAUGCAAAAAUAUGACAUAAAAGCAAAAUAAAUUCCAUAAGAGUGUUUCUCUUUCAUCUCUUACAGCUCAUAUGUAGGUAUUCUUUUUGUACCGGAAGACAUGCAUUCGGUCUUGGAUGCAGUCUAAAAUGACUUAGAGUGGAAUAAGUACCUAACCAAUACAGUUGGUAGUGGAAUGGAUGAAGCGCAAUUCUGCUUCACUAACCACUAUAAAAUACAUUUGUAUUGAGUCAAUACAUGGUAAUUAGACUCAAGGAAGGAAGAAUUAAAAGAAAAUAAUGAGACGGACAAUGUCAAGUAUUAAAAAAUGUUGGGCAAUAGAAGAGCAUGGUAGCAAAAAAGUUGCUAGGAUGAACCUACAUGGAAAGCUUGGACAGAUAUAAGCACAAUGAAGGAACCUUCUAUAGAGGACAAAUUGGGAUCCAUCCAUAAAACCAUAGUAUUCAACAAAUUCUUUUUUUUGAAAGUACCUUCACAAAUCCUUUGUUUUCAACUCAUCCUCUUUUUGAAAGUCACACACCUCUUCUUCUUUUAUCAAGAUAUGAAGAAAACCAAUGUUUUGCUCAUGAAAUAGUCAAUUGAUUGUACAAACUGCUGAUGUAAAAAUCAACUGAUCUAUAGAAGCAAAACAGAUUAUAACUGAACUACCCAAAAUUAAGUUUGUCUUACAAGUUCAGCUUUUAAGUCAUUGAUUAGGUCUGACAAAUAUUCCAAUAUCUAAAAAAAAUGUGGUUGCCUUGAGAAAGCAUGAUUGGUAGGAUAAAAUUAUGCUGCUUCAGAUUCAUGACAAUUGGGAAACUCAUAUCAAAUGCAAUUUGUAAGCAUAAAUGUACCAGAUGUAACAUUUAUGCAGGGAAAAAUAUAUGGAAUCAGUAACAUAAGCUUAUUAAGAUGAUAAAAAUAGAUAUACACAUUGCAAGGUGGAAAAUACAACUUUUUGUAAUGUCAGAUUUACCUAGAUCGAGCUUUCUCCCAUAGUCGCUCAUCAAUUGACUCUUCCCAUAUUACACAAUCUCCCAAGCACUGCCAACAAGUUCUAAUACCCUGUGGUCAUCGAUGGUAUGGUUAGUAUGUACGACUUGUAAUUUAGUAUUAUUUGCUUUGUAAGGAUUAUGCAGCUAUUACAAUAUAAUCAUCAAAAAAUUAAUUACCGAAGAAUGCAUAGAUACGAAGAUCAGCAAAUAUCAAACAAAAGAAUAAAUGUCAAUAACCUAGCUUUAUGCUACAUUACACAGAACAGUACGAGAACAAGAUAUUAUCCUAGUUUAAGAUACCAAGGCACUAGGAAGAUCUGUCUGUUGGUUAGAAAGGAGACAGUCACUUGUCACUACAUAAGAAAGUUGAUCAGAUUCAAUAUUAAGUCUUCCAUACUAGCAAUCUCCAUCCUUGUGCAAGAGACUUUGAAAUAAUUAUAAGCAUAAACGUAGACUCAAACCAGAAAUCAUCUGCCUAUUACCAGCUUUCUGGGCAAGGCAUAGUCAUUGGAUCCUAUAAAAGAUAAGAUCCACCUAUAUAGGUCGCCUAAAUUGUAAAGUGUCAUUUAUCUAUGCCCAUCAGAGUGUUAAUUGUUCUCCCCUCAAAAUCUUUAUUCCUUAAGCAUGGAAUUUUUGAAAUCCUUCCUAGCUUAAUAAACCAUGUCGAUAGUUCUUCAUUGGAUUACUCCUAGCAAUACAUAGCAGGUAGAAGCUAGUCUAAGGCAUUCAGGUCGUUCAUACAAAUCUGCACUAUGUGAACAAAUGUGCAAAAACUGACAUGUUACAACAUAAUAUUGGUCAUAAUACUUAAAAGAAGUGCUAGAAAUUACAUACCUUCCCAUUACACUGGGAACAGUCAGAUCUCGAUCUCUCAAUUCCACACUCAGCACAGGGUGUAUAACCCCUGCCCCUGCAACUUGGACAAGGUAGCUCCCUGAUGUAUUGGCCAUUUGGACCAAACCAAGACCUUAAUUUUGGUGCAUCAGGAUUAGCAUUCCUGACAACAAAUUAAUGAUCAUCAGCAAUAAAGUAUCUCAUACUAGGAAACAAAAAUUAGUUUACAAAACCAGUAUAUUAUAAAUUUCAUGCCUUGCAAAGUCUGGUCACUGAAAACUCUUUAACAUCCUAAUUCAGCUCCUUGUAAAUUUGAGCCAAGUUUUGAAUAUUCUAGCUUUCUGAAAAAAUGACGCAACAUAUCUAGUAGUGGAAAAAAUGGAUAUAUUUGGUUUACCAUCUAAGAUGCUAAUAUUCUCCAACUUGCAUGCCAUCAAGUUGUAGGACAAUUGCAAAAUUCUAAUAAAAGAACACCAGAAAGUAGAUCAUUACUGAUGUAAUGAUCCAAGUCCUCACCCAAAAAGGUUAGCCGAAAGAUAUUAUUUAAAUUUAUUGGCCUAUAUAAAUACCCAAUGGGACUAAGAACACACCAACACGAGUUCUCACAUACUCUCUCCAUUUAAGCCUGGCGUACUUAUCAGACUAAGAGUCCAAAUCUAUUCAAAUCCAAUCAAAAGUACCAUAAAUCCAAUCACAAACAGCACAAUCAGCUCAUGAUUAGCCCAAAUUAGCUCAUGUUGCAAUGUCACAUAAUCUACAUGGGCUAUGGUUUGGAUUUGCUCUAAAACCAUUUGUAAUGGCCCAGGAUCUCACCCAAAAAGGAUAGCCAAUGCAUAAUUGAUGUGGUACUAAUAUAUGCCUUUACAGAUCCUCACAACUGAGUUGUUGAACUUUCAAUAGUCCUUUCUCCGCUCACCAACUCUACAAAUUUGGCAUUAUUUAGUGACAAGAGCACUGGAUGACUGUUAAAGAAUCAGGACAGCGUAAGUUUCAAAUAAGCAAGAUUAUAAAGAACACAGCAUUUAAAUAUUUUCAUAUAACACCAAAGACAUUAGAGGAGUUAUAAGAAUAAGAGAUUGAAAGGAAGGAAGGAGUGCAGACUUUCCUUGCGGGUCGACAUCGAGACCUAGGAGCUCCCUCGAAGGAUCGUAAUCGAGCUGCCAAAAAUAAAGGACCAUCAGCAGAGGAAGCUCAUAGAUGCCGAGUUCUUGAAACACAAAAGGAAAUCUAUGCAAGAUUUGGAUAAGAAAGAGACAGGGUUUUUGGGUGCCGGAACCGAGUUUUCGUUCAUGGAGAAUGGGAUGGCCCGCGGAGCGACGUGGAUCCUUGGAACGGGUUGGAGAGCCGUUCGGAGUCUCCCGCUCCUCCAUCUCCCGAGAGGCAGAGAGAACCGAGGGGAGGAGUAGAUCGAGAACAUCCGACGAAGGGUGGGAAGAAGAAGAAGAAGAGAGCCGAGGCGUGAGAUUUUUUUGUUUUUUAUUUUUUAAAUCCAAGAUAAUAGAAGGGAGAAAGUUUUUGUGAGGCGAACAGGGUCGGAGAUGGCAAAAGCUAUGCGAGCCGCUAAAGCUAUCUCCAUUUCAAACAGCGAACAGCUUUCUUCAGCGUUGGUUUGCUUCAUCUGGGCUAUUGGACUUGUAAGUAAUAUUGACGUUUAUACGAGGUUAUAUGUAAACCCCUAGUAAUUGCGUCUUAACUAUGGGCUUACAUGUAAAGUUAUUUGUUUUGACGUAUUCGUGAAAUUAUUCAGUAAUUUCGGCUAGUUAAUUGCCGACUUCAGUUCGAGGCGGAUAGAAUAGCACGAUGUCGCGGCCCCAGGGUGUCCUUUCUUUCCGCUCCAGAGUUCCGAUCUUCGACGAAUCCAUUCGCUGUCCGACGUCUUCGUGUGGUCGAGAGGCGAUCCAUCCAUGGCGCUCGCUCUGCGCUCCCCGUGCGUCUCAGCUUCCGUCCUCUCUUCUCCGCUCGACGACCUCUACUCCUCCGCCGCCGCCAGAAGGAAUCGCGAACUAGGGCAUGGAUCGAGCUCCUUCGCGCCCUCCUCAAGGCUGGUGUUCUCAGUCCCCUCUUCCAUCGCUCCUCCUUCGCGAAGAAGGGCAAGUUGGAGAUGCGAGUGGAGGUACGACCACAUCCCCAAACAGUUUCGGGAGGAAAAUCUCAAAGACGGAUGUGAGCGCCUCGUCAACUACUACCCCCCAUUUUCGAUCCUUCUGUUGCUUUAUAGUAUAUGAUUCAUCUCGUUUCCCAUGUUCUUUCUUUUUAAUCUUAGGUUCCAUCUAGGUCUCUUAUUCCGAUUUUUGACGAAAGCCACUGCCUUUGUUACUUUUCUUUUCUGGUUUUGAAAUCCACGUUGUUUCUUGUGGCGCUGGUACUUGAUUUUGGUACUUAGGUCGAGCGAGUUGGUGGCCAUAUUGUGCCAUCUCUUAUUAUUUAUCUUUUGCAUCGAAUAAUCUGCUCUGAUAUUUGUGGUGACAGUCCUUUUCUUUUACUCAAGCUGCCAUUUGGUACUUCUUUCUUGUCAUUUGUAAAUAAUUUGGUUUCUACUUCUUUGCUUGGUUUGAACUUGUCAUUAAUCUAGGAUUAAGAUGAAUUCAGCACCUAUAAUUGUUAUUUGGUGCCCAUGAGUCGCGGGGCGAUAAGAAGGAUAAGCAUAUUGCAAGGAUUGGAAAUCAUUGUUCAUGGAGGCUCUACAGAAGGGUAGAAGUGGAAGAUCUUAUAAGUGGUUCGAGGUUUGGGGGAGGUGAAGUGUCAGUUCCUCCUCUGGGGCACCAAACAACAUUCCUGUUAAGAAAAAAAAUUGGGGAAGCUAACGAAUGUCAAUUUCUUACCUAUGUAUAAUGGUUUUUAGGGCUAAGGAAUUGAAGGUGAAAUGUGACAUUGGCUUCUCUAUUUGGGACUAGGAUGGACAUGUGGAGAAUAGUUUGGGGGAACAUAUCUCUUUGUGUGCAAAGUGGAGAAAUUGAUUAUUGAAUACCUAGGUCUUGUAUUGUGCACCGGGUGGAGGUCAUGAUGAGGAACUAAUUCUAGAGAGGUUUGGCAAAAAGUGUAUUGAUUAGCAAGAUAGGAAUUUUGUAUUAUGCUCUUGAAAGCAAUAUCUUUGAAUUGGGAUGUUUAUUUUCUGUUGGUUUUCUGGUGCGCUGGCAGAUACCUAGUGGGAAAUUUGGAAGAAGGGUAAGCUGAUAUAUUUAAGACUCAAUAAAGUUGUGCUAACCCCCUUCCCUGACAUGGUUUCUCUAUUUGGGACUAGGAUAGACAUGCAUAAAAUCAAGGUUCGCCGUACCGAGUGGUAGGCAUAUCGGUCGCCUAUCAGACUAGUACGGUUUCGGCUCGUUUCGGAAUUGGCCAGUACGAACCGGCCAGCUCUUUCUCGCCAGAGUCGGAGAAGAAGAAGAAAAGGAGAGAGAGCGCGGGAAAGAGAGGGAGGAAGGAGACCCGUGGCCGCCAUUGGAGAGCCGCGGAGGGGCGGUGGAGGCCCUGGGGGGGGGGGAACCCGCGGGCAUUGCCGACUUCCCUUAAAAUAUCUAAAUUAAAAAGCCGCGGCCUUCGCUGCGCCCCCGCGGGUUCCCCCCCUUAGCCUCCGCCGCCCCUCUGUGGGUCUCCUCCCUCCUUCUCUUCUCCGCGCUCUCUCUCCUUCUCUUUGUCUUCUUCGUCUCCGGCACAGAACCGGCCCGUACCAAUUUUCACUGCUUCGGCAUACCGGUUACAAGCUGGACCGGUUUCUACUGCUCCGGUGUACCGGUUACAGGCCGAACCGGCCGGUUCGUCAGACCUUGCAUAAAAUAGUUUUGGGGAAAUAUAUCUUUGUGUGCAAAGUGGAGGAAUCAAUAAUUAAAUACCUAGGUCUUAUAUUGCGCAAUGGCUAGAGAUCAUGAUGAGGAACCAAUUCUAGAGAGAUCUGGCAAAUAAAUGUACAGAUUAGUAAGUUAGGAUUUUGUAUUAUGCUCAUGACAGCAAUAUCUUUGAAUUUGCAUGUUUAUUUUCUGUCGGUUUUCUGGUGCACUAGCACAUACCUAGUGGGAAAUUUGGAAAAAGGGUUGUCUAAUGUAUUUAAGACUCAAUAAAGGUUUGCCAACCCCCUUCCCCUCACUAAACUACUCUUUCUUUUCUCCCAAAGCUCUCACUCAUCUCUUCCCAAAAGCAUAAAAUCUUUUUCUCAACUCAUAGGAAAAUAUAUCUCCUCUAAUUCUCUUCCAUUCAAACAAAA
rnacentral:lncRNA from 1 species